GCUUUAAUAAGCCGAACUCGAGUAAAGCCUAUCACGAAGACGGCGACCCGGUUUAAAUGAGUCGAACUAGGGUCAAGUCUAUCACGAAGACGGCGAUCCAGUUUAAUUAGCCGAACGGUAAAGCCUAUCACGAAGACGGCGACCCGGUUUAAUUAGCCGAACUCGGGUCAAGCCUAUCACGAAGACGACAACUCAAGGAAAAUAUUUAUCAUCAUUUUUUAUUAUUUAUUACUGUUGUUAUCAUUUUGGUCCGAAUUGGGAUUCAACCGUGUCGAGUGGAUGAACAAAAAAAAAUUACGUGGUGGAGUGGAUGAACAAAAAAAAAAAAAGAAUUUCUUUUUUUUUUGACCUUUUCUUUUUCGAUCUUCUUCUCUCCUUUUUUUUUUUUUUUUUUUUUUUUUUUUGUUUCUCUCACUCCCUUUUUUUUCCUUUUUUUUAGCCAAAACUAAAUUUUUUGUUAUUACAUCUUGGAUCCAAUUUAUAGAGAUUCAAGAAUCAUUAUUAUUUUUAAAAAAAAAUCAAAAUAAAUCUCUAAAGCGGGAACUUUAUUAUCCCUUACAUCUUAUAAGGAAUUUAAGUAUUUAAUACUACUUUCAGAUAUCUUCCUUUUUUUUAUUUAUUUUGAAAUAACAAAGAUUUUUUUUUUUUCUUCCUUCUUUAUUUUUAGCUUUCUUUCCUUCUCCUCUCUUUUUCUUUCUCCUUUUUUUUUUUUUUUUUAUUCUUUCUUUUUUUUUUCUCUUUCCUUUUUUUCUUCCCUUUUUUUUUUGGUAAUUCUUUUUUCUUUUUUUUUUUUUGGAAACAAGUGGGAUUUUUUUUGUAAUUUAUUUUUUUUUCUUUUUUUUUUGAAGAAAGGAAGAAAAGUCGAAUGUAAUUUUGUUCUUUUUUUUUUUUAAUCCGAACAGUUACAUUUGGUAUCAAGCCAGUUCACCAGCUGGAAAUGUGUGGCGAGUCUCGGCUGAGCUAGAGUCUGAAAGACAAUGUGAUAGGCUAUGCCGUAGUCUGAAUAACAAGAUGACCGACUAUGCCAAGGUCUGGAUAAUAAGGCUAGCGAGACGAGUCUCACAUCGCCUGGUGAUCUUGGGCUGUGUGUGUGAUUGGACUGACAAGGACGUCAGGGCCUUAACGGGGGAAGUCUGUCACACCCCAAUAAUCCCACAUUGGAUAGAAAUGGGGAGGUGAUUAGGUAUAUAAAAGACUUAGACACUAGUAAUAAUAACUGAGCUUAAACAUUUUGAGCCGGUGGUUAGGCCCAACGAGUUAUUGUUGCUAGUGGGCUGGGUCGUUACAAGUUUUCUUGCAGUUUUAGGGUUUUCAAAGUUCUAAUGGCCCUAUACUAAUAUGCUAGGUUAGCAACUUGUAUCAAUGAUUAUCUAUUGCAUAGAUUAAAUGGCAUGCAAUUUACAUAAGAAUGGCACAUUCUAGAACCCUAACAUGCAUUUUUAUAUAUAUACAAAUACAAUGUGCUCAAUAAAUAGAGAUAGAAAUAGAAAGAAAUCCAACUGUUUGGAGAGCACUACCUAUCUCAGUUAAUUACUAAUGGCUAAGAUUUUCGGGCAAUUUAAAUCCUGACAUCAUUGGAUGCCAUAAUCUCGUCGUAAUCCAAAUCGGAGUUGUCCCCUCCGUCGAAAUAUCCUUCAAUUAGAGAUUCAAGAGGUCAAUGUAACUCAAAAUUCCAAAACCACAAAAUUGCUAAUUCUCAAACUAGGAUUUCUAUUUUAUCAAGAACACCCCAAAAUCCACGGUGAAUCUUUAACCAAUCUAGUUUAGAAUCAUCUAAAACCUCUAUAAAUCUCAUUUUUAAAGGAUUUAACUAAAAUCCUAAUUCAAAUUCAUAAAUCUCAUCUCGGCCAUCGUGGUCAAGAAGUUUGAUCCACCAUUAGAGAGUUCUUCCAGGAUUCUUCUCUAACUUGAAGUUUCUAAAAUCUCUAAUUUCUCCUCUUUGAUGGAGAUGAUACAAGAGAAAGGGAGGUGUUAGAGAGGAAGAGAAGCCCUUCCUCUCUUCUCUCGCUUUAGGAGAGAACUCGGGAGAGAGAGGUGACAUGGGUAUACAUAUAGCCCCUAGCACUUACUAUAAUUUACAGUUUAGUCUAGUUCAGAUCCGAUACGUCUAAUUGGAGUCCUUUUGAAUAUCUGUUUGCUCUCAAAUUUGACAUAUUUACUAAGGGCAUGUUUGGUUCGCCCUUCGCCGAAAGUGUAGUAUCGAAAGUGAUAUUUUUAGAAAGUGACGUCUCAUCGGUUGUUUGGUUUACGAAAGUAAAUAUAAAAGUCACUUUACGAAAGUGGGCUGAUAUAGAAAGUUAUAACUAAAUCUCACUUUUUUGACUUCGACUCAAGAAAUUCGGAAGUCACCGAAAGUGAAGAGUUUAGCUAAGAGGUUAUAUUUGGUCUUAACUUUAAUAUUUAAAUUUAUUUUUAAAGUUUAAUUUCACUUUAAAUUUGAAUUAAAAUUAUGAUCACAUUUUGAAUUUUAUUUUGUGAAUUAAAAUUCAACAUAAAAUUUUAAAUUCAAAUUUAUGACUUUAUAUUUAAAUUUAAAUUUUAAAAUUUUAUUUUUAUUUAAAAUUGAAUUCUAGAAUUUAAAUUUAAAUUUUAAAUUUUAAAUUUUAAUCAAAUUAUUUUCAGUUAAGAACUUCAAUUUGAAAUUUGAAUUCAAAUUGUUCCAAGUAUAAAUUCAAGUUAUUGACUGAAAUUUAAAUUUAAAAUUUAAAUUUUUAAGUUAAAAUUCAAAUUCAAAUUUAAAUUUGUUAUUUACAUUUAACUUCAGUAAUAAGUUUCAGUCUAAAUUUGAAUUCAAAUUAUGAAUUCAAAUGUUUGAUUCGAAUUGUGAUUUAAACUCAUAUUAUAAUUUAAAUUUAAAUAUUAAUUUAAAUUGUGAAUUCAUAUUUGAAUUCAGAAUUUAAGAUCAAAGAGUGAAUUAAUAUAUGAUUCAAAUUAAAAAUUCAAAUUUGAAUAAAUGUCCUAAUUUUUGUGUUGAACUUUUAUUUUAAAAUUUAAUUUCACUUAUAAGUUAUAACUUAAAUUUUAAAUUCAAAUUCUAAAUUAAAUUUAUGUCUUAAAUUUUAAUUAGAAAUUCAACUCAGAUUUAAGUUUAAAUUUAAAUUUUAAAAUAUAACUUUGAAUUCUAAAUAUUAAUUUAAAUUUAAAUUGCAAAUAUAAGUCGUUUGUUUAUAUUUUUACCUCUUUAUAUAUAAUUUAAUAAUCAAAAAAAUAUAAAAUUAUAGUUUUAAUUUUUUACUUUAUAGCAACCAAACAAUCGAACUUUUAUAAAAGUGACUUUUUCCACUUUGCCGACUUUCGAGUUACCAAACAUGCCCUAAAUUAAAGUUAAUCAGAAGUGAACUUUUUAGUUUUGGAUCAUUUUCGGUUACCGAAUGCUCUAUCGACUAGAAUUUUUAACAGAUUGCUGUUAGACUCCAUUUUUCCUUCUCGGGUAUCCGAAUGACACAAACCUUUAAAUCUAAUCUCAGAAAAAUAAUGUCGACAAAUUCUCAAAUUUUCAUAAUUUUCUGAUUCUAUAAAUUUUCAACUGAAAUAUAAGUCAUGUUUCUUACAGAAAAUUUCAAAUCACAUAUUUUAAUUUUAAUUUUAGCACAAGUCAUUUCCGAAUUAUCUUUUACUUUUUUAAGUCCAAUAAAAAUAGUGUCUCACACUAUUUUUAUUUACACUUGCAUAUAUAUUAAAAAUCCAGUGUACCAUACAUUCCACCACAGUUCUCUCCCUCUCUCUCUAGAUAUUACAAAUUUCUGCUAUUUGGAUUUUAGGUCAACCCAUAUGUAAAGAGAACUAUAUUUUGUGAAUUUCAAUAAUUAAAUUAAGAUUCUAAUUUUUUUUCAACUUUUCAGCUAGUAAUAGAGCUGAUAAUUUAACUUAUUGUUUACAAGCCAGCUUGCGUUCGUCUCGUGAAUAAACAAGCUAAAUACGAACUGAAUUUUUCAACUUAAUAUUUUAACAAUCUAACUCGCAUUCGACUUAUUUAUUAAAUAAAUCGAACUCGAGCUGACUCUAGCUUGCUCGCAUUCGGCUCGCUGACAAGCCUACACAUACAUAGUUUGUUAAGAUAUAUUGUACAUUAAUAAUGUCCAACUUUUGAGGGCCAACAAAAUAAACGUGGGCCGAAAUUUUAGGGAGUGGAGACGCAAUUUACCCAAAAUCCCACUUAAACCCUAUUUCACACGUAAUUCCCUCUUGACCUUUCGCCGCUUCGGUCUCUGCCCACCUCCUCCACCAUCCUCUUUGGAUUCUCAAGGUUAGAUCCAUUCACCUCCGUAAACCCUACUUUUAUAGCUCAUUCCGUUGCCACAAAGUUAAGGUGAUUGAGUUUUGAUGCAACAUUGGAUUCCUCAGUCCACAUCAGUUAAACCCUAGCAAUGAAUCUAAAGCCUAGUUUGGUAACUUAGUGCUAGAAGUAGAAGCACUAUUUUCAUUCUAUAAAAUAUUCAAAAAAUCUAAAAGUGCUUACAAUCUUCUUUCUUUUUAUACAGUAUAAAAUUACGGUCACGCAUUUUCGGUGACAGUUGUAACUGUAAUUUUAUAUAACAAAAAAAAAAAUUAAGCACUUCUAAAAUUGUUGGGCCUUUUAUAGUAUAAAAAUGGUGUCACAUGCUUCUCUGGUGACCAUUGUGAUAGUAAGUACUUUUAGACAUUUUUAAGCCUUUUAUAGUAUAAGUGGUUAGGCCUACAUCUUUCAUUUUAGGGGGCAUUUGGAUUGGUGAAGUUGUGAUUUGUCUGUAAGUCAAGUUUUUUAAGAGUUGAAAUAUUAGUCUCGUUGUCCCUCGUGAAGACACCGAUAAGAUCCAGUUGUUAGUUAUCAACUUAAAUUUUCAAUCCUUUUUUUUUGAAAUGGUUCAAUGUCAUCGUUUAUAGAAAGAUCCAAAAUUUAGCUUAUGACUAGACGGUGAACCUCCCCAGCGAUAUGCUUGCUAUCUCCGCAUCUUGAUUUUCAACCGAACUACAAUUACGUGAAUCCAAACGCCUCCUUAGGUGAAGAUUGGCCUCUGCAGUCUGCACUAUUUCUCAAUUGUUUUAUACAUGUAUUCAAAUCAAAAUUUCCUUGUGGCUUUCUGCUUUCCUCUGGUCAUUUUCUUUUGCUUAUGUUGGUUCUCUGAUUGCUAAUUAGAAUCAUGCAAAUCCUGAUGCUUUUUGUUGCGAUGCGAGCCUAUAGCUCAGAUGGGAAUCAAUAAAACAAUGACUAGGGCAUUUUUUUAAAUCCUAGGGGCUGUUUGUUCGCCGGUAUAUAGUGUUCUAGGAAUGUCAUAUAUUUUAUAUGAAAAAUGCUGUGCUUUCAAAUCAUAUGUAUACAUUGAAUUGGGAAGUUUAUUAUUGGCUAAAAUGAUCGUAGAUGCUAUAAUUUUACGUACAUGUAAAUGUGUGUGGCACUGUGGGCAUAGCAAAAUGAAUUUUGUAUUUGGAAUGGUAAGUUUGCUCCUAACUGUGCCACUUGGAUUGGGAGAUUGUUAGGGACUUGUAUAUAUUAUCAUUAUUGGACUAUUCAUGAUUCCCAUCAAGUAUGGGAACGACAAAACCUCCUAACCCAUGGUAUUGGUAUGUUUCUACUAGUUGAGAGUCUAUGGUGGUUCCAAAAUUUCAUCAACACCUUUUAUGAUUUCCCAACUUGAGUUGUAUGACGAGGAUAUAAAUAUUUUAAACAGAAAUUGUGGAGGAUUCCUGAAAUAUUACAAACCGUGAAAUGAGCGACCCACUAGCGUUAUCUUGUUUAAGAAGGUGAGUGGGCGUAAUAUUUGUUUGCUUGCUACAUUUUUUUUUUCUGUUAUAGAAAAAUUGUUUUUAGCUUUUCAGUUGGGGUCGAGUAGAAAAAUCUUAGGAAUUCAUCUGAGAAUUUCUUCAUAUUAUAUACGCAGUUUUCACUUUUGAGUUUGUUCAUUUUUUUUUUCUUUUUUAUUGGCCCUUAAGACUUAAGAGUCCUUGAAACUAUGGAUUGAUUUCGUACAGUUAUUUCCUUGUGAAUGGCACUUGGUUAGCUUAUCAUACUUGAAUGAAAUAAGAAAAAUCUAUUCUCUUCUUUUUCUUUCUUCUCCUUUGCUAUUUCAACUUCUAAUAUAUAUCAGGCAAUCAAAGUUGAUUCACAAUGCAUAUGUAUCAUUCAUCUUUCUUUCACAAGUUCAUGCUCUUUAUUGGCAUCAAGAUAUCCUAUUAUAAAGUUUAAUAUUCAAUAGUGGUCUCAUAUUAAAGUUACUAUAUGUAAAUCAUUUUAAUCUCAUACAUCUUACAAUUCUAUGUAGAUAUAUCACUAUAAUUGUGUCAAUGCAUUCAGAGUAUCUAGAAAAAUAAUAGAACUAUCAUUUAUUGCAAAGAGAUUACAUAUAUUAAAAAUAGAAAUAGUGGCAAUUAUGGUGGUCACUAAAUGUUUGCUGGCAAUGUUUUAAAUUACAAAACAUUCAAUGGUAGUAAUUUUUGCCUUGGAAACAAGCAGCAAUAUUAGUAGCCACCUUAAGCUAUAUAUGUUGGCGACUUUCUCUACCACCUAUUUUUCCAGAGCUAGGCAACAAAAGUUGGCACUAUGUAAAGCUUUUCUUCUGCUCAGCUGUGCUGAGGCCUGCGCCUCCCGUCUAGGAGCCGAGUAAAAAAUUUUAGGGAAAUUUGUUGCCACUGGUAGUGAUAUAUGGUGCAGUGACUGUUUAUUUGUUUCAUUUGUUUAAACACUUGAGUAAGAUGCCUGCUAUAUAUAUGGUGUGUAGUUCAUUGUCUGUGUUUUUGUGUGCUUAUUAUUUGUCCUAAUAUGACCAAUAAGUUCUUCAGUAAAGUGCUAUUUCUAUAAUAUUAGUACUUAAGUGUUUGCUUUAGUAAUAUAGCUCAUAUAUAUAGCUUUUGGGCUUUGUUCUUGAUGCUUCUAAUGAUACAAAUAUGUUGGAUUUGAUUUGUGCUAGUUGCUUGUAAAAUCUAACAAUUAGGAUGUAUUGCAUUGUGCCGACUCUGUACCGGUUUCAGAGUCCAUCAUCCAUUUCUAUGCAACAACCUUAAAGCAUGGAGAAAAAUGUAGGAGAAAGCUAAUGUUUGCUCAUCAUCUGUCUCUAAACUUACUGUAGUCAAUUUUAAGAAAACUCUUAAUUGUAACAUUCCAACAAAUUAGAUAAUCUCUUUCCUUUACAUUCACUUUUUUGGUAUUGUUAUGAAACAACAAGCCCUAAGCUUUUCUUAUCAUCUCUCUGGCUAUGUAUUAUAUUUUAUUUGGAGUCUAGCUCAACUCAAAACAUAAACUAAUUUAAUUUCUAUCUCAACUACAACUACAAAACAGAUUAGCACAAUUUAAUCAAAUGAUUAACUAGAACUGAAUAAGUUCCAACGACUACUAAUUAACUGUAUCAACGAAGAAACAAAUCACUAAUAUGCUUUUCUCUCAAGAUUCUCAACUGAUCAUAAAUGACCUUUACAAAUCUAAAAUCCAUAUUGAAUACCCUCCUUUUUAUAUCACUGAUAGAUUACAUCAUCAUUGAUCAUUCCUUUUUACAGGUAAACCUUUUGCAAACUAGCUAACAUGACCAGCACCACAAAGCUCAAUAUGAAGCUCCUGGUCGACACCAAAGCCAACAAAGUUCUUUUUGCCGAAGCUGGAAAAGACGUAGUUGACUUCUUAUUCAGCCUUCUUGCGCUUCCGGUCGGGACCAUCAUAAAGCUUAUGACAAAGGAAUCCAUGUUCGGAAGUGUCGGGAACAUACAUCAAAGCUUAGAGAGACUCGAGUGCACCUACCUCCUCUCCAACCAAACCAAGGUCGACCUCCUCAACCCAAAGGUAUUGGUCCCAUCUUUCUCAGCAAAUGGCGUAUUCCUCUUGUCCACUUCUGCAUCGUCGUCGUCGAUGCAUACGAAUAAAAGGUACUAUCGGUGUUCAAAUAGCUAUUACUCGAACUGCGGCAAAAACUAUGUUACGGAUGUUAGUGGGACUACAUGUCCUUUGUGCAAGCAAAGCAUGACAAAAGAGGUGCAAUAUGUUGAGCCCAACUCGAGAGGAGCAGUAAAGGUUGAGAAUAAUAAUGGGGAAAAUGGCUUAGGAGUUGUGAAGGGUGUGGUUACAUAUACCAUAAUGGAUGAUCUCACUAUCACGCCCAUGUCAACUAUAUCAAGUAUCACACUGCUUAACACCUGUAAUGUAAAGGAUUUGAGCGUGCUCCAGGAGAAGAACGUGAAGCUCGGCAUGGAAGAGGUUGAUUCCUUCUUUUCUUUCUUUUAUUUUUUUUCCUCUUUUUGUUUUUGAGAAUGAUAAUUUACAGGACUCAAACCUGAAUUAUUCUUGUAUUUCCUUUUCAAAUUUGUUUCAUUUUAGUCAUCAUCUUAGAGGAAAAAUCGCACACGCACCACGAAUCCCCAUUGUGAACAAAAAUAGUAUAUAUUGGAUUGAAAUAUGAAUCUGAUCCACAUCAAUGUGUAAGAGUAUUUCCAGCCAUCAGUUUAAGCUUUCAAGUUAGCUUAAGCCAUUUAAAAUGAUAUCACAGCAUAUCCGCGACUCUCUUAUUUUUGGUCACCCAAGUUGCCACGUGUUAUAUGUGCCUGGAAUGUGGAUUGAGUUUGUGCCACAUACUAAUAGCAGUUUCUAGUAUAGAUUUCGUGUGAUUGCAUUAGCUUCGUACCACAUGUUAGUAGCGCAAGCACGUAUCAAGCAAGUGUUAAGAGUAAUGUCCUUUUGGAUUUAUUAUUUACUCCAUUAUAUGCUCCAAGUGUUGGAAUGUAUAAAACAGCUUAAAGCUCUGUAGAAUUAAUCAAGAGAAGAAGUUGUAAACCACAGCUUCUGAGAAUGACAUGUGGUUCCAAUACUUAUGUCUGUAACAUAUGACACCACAAACCUGGGCAAGCAUUUGGAUGAAAUAGAAUUAGACAAUUUUGGGUAUUGUAACUCAGUUUUUAACAAGACCUAUAUACUAGUUUUUCCAUGUUACAAGAAUAACUCACGAAGAACCCAAAUAGGAUCUAAUAGCCCCGUAUUAAAUAGAACAAUUAUUUUGAACUAUAUAUCACUACAAGAAAAUUAGAAUUUAAGGACUUUUUCUUUUAUAUUUAACGAUGCUUAAAAGCGUUCCCAGUAUAAUCUGGCAUCAUAGUUGAAAGCGUCAGCUAAACCUUCAGGAAACACAGAGUCGCCAUAUAUAUACCGACGCUUAUGGCAAGCAUCAGUAAAUUAUAAAGCGUCAAAAUUUUUUCAAGUCCUAAAUUAAAGCGUCGAAAAAUUAAAGUAAUAGUAAAAUUUAUCAUUUAAUAAAUUGGUUUGAUACAAUUGAGGGUUCAUAUGACGACACUUUUUUAAGCACCGGUAUUUGCUAUAUUGUAGGGGCGCUUGGGGAUGCUUCUCCCAAACGUCGUCUAAAAAGUGUCCGUAUAUUGAAAUUUUCUUGUAGUGUAUAAUGUGUAUGGAUAUCUCCAUCUAUUAGCUUAAGCUUUUGGGUUGGUUCAAUCUUCUUAACAUCUAUUAGCCCUUCAUUCCUUUUAUACUUCUAAUUUAACUGUUCAAUUUCUAAAUAUAAAGAAAACUGUAACGGUUGGUAUAACUAAACUAUGAGAUAGGAGAUUAAGAGUCGAUAUAUACAUACGCUAUGCAUGAACAUAGACAUGCACCGGGUUUAGGCAUAAUUUUUGGGUUGAUUGCAACAUCGGUCCCCAAUAUUUACCCAAUUUUUAACAUAGUCCCCAACCUAUUAAUUGUUGCAAUUAGAUUUUUAACCUUUUUUAUUUGUUUCUAUUAAGUUAUAGUCAUGAAAAACUAGCUAACUUUAACCAAAAUUGUCACAUUAGUAUUGAACAAUAUUUGCGACAUCCAUAUUAUCCUUUAUUAUUGUUUCAGUUUUUUUUUUUUUGAAUAGUAAUUUAGGAUAUGGACCAUGGUGUUAGACCUUCAAGAGUGAGUUCGAAGUGUUAAAUGAAGAACUUAGAAAUUGGAGGACUACAUUGAAACUUCACUAACAGUUUAGGGACUAGUUCCCUCUAUAAAUUUAUGAGCUUGUGCAAGUACCCCAGCUAAUUAAGCUGGUAUUUCCAUGCAAACUCUUGAAUCACUUUGUUUACUUGAUUGCAUUUGUGCUAUAUCAGUGAUUUCUAUGAGGGUAAAAAAAAGAUUGCAUACAUAUCCUCACAGGAAAACACUUGAAAUUAUCAAUUUUCCAGACCUAUUUGAAUAAACCAUGUAUUUAUGUGUUUAUUUGAUGCUGUCGGUGCAUGGACAGGGGUUGCAGCUGCUGAAGGCAUCUCUGCAGUCUAAGACUGUUCUUACCGACCUAUUUCUCACGAAGAGAAUGCGAAAAAGAAGCUCGACCUGACACAGAAUGCUCCAGGUGAAUGCUAGGUAGUUUUUGGUGGCUAGUAAUGCAGGUUUUUGUUCUAGUUUCUUUUGUGUCGAUCGACCUACUUCUGAUAUGUAGUGUUUUAUGAUCACUUCAACUCUACUUAGGGUAGUUAAUAAUGUAAUUAGAGAUGUAUGCAUUUAGAAAUACAGUAGGUACGUUUGCAUUUUACGCAUUUGGCGGUAUGUUUGCAGGGGUGCUGCAACUACAAUAAUUUUGUUAAAUUGCCUGCAGUUUAAGGUGCAUUUAAAGAUCAUAUUAUCUUGGGUAAACUUCAAUUAGCCCCUAUGUGGUUUAGCAUAUUUUUAUUUUGCCAUGUGUCCUUUGAAAAGUUUUCACUUUGCUAUUUUGUGAUUUUGUCUAUGUUUCACUGUAAGAGCCUAUUGUUAAACAGGACAGUAAAGUGAUUUGUUAAGCUGUUAGAGAACGGUGUUUAUAUAAUUUUAUAUUUAACACUCCCUCACGUCUGGGCUCGAGACUUUUUGCAAGGCCUAUGACGUGGAUUUGAAUUAAAAGGAAGGAAAUUAAUUACGCUAGCGGCCUGGCUUGACUUGAACUUAGGAUUUCCUGCUCUGAUACCAUGUGAAACAACUGUUGUACUCUAAAAGCUUAAACUGUUAGAGUACGGUAUUUAUAUAAUUUUAUAUUUAACACAAACCACAGGGUGGCUAUGUAUAAACUUGUAUGGCGUCAAACUUGUGGUUUGUAAAAAUAAAUUAUUUUUUUACCUUGUGGUUUGUAAAUUUUAGCAAUUCGGUAUCCUAUUUAAUGCCAAAUCCUUACCAACCUCAAGUAAACUAUGCACAGGUGACUUGCUAGGUUCUUUGGUGGUUAAUAAUGCAAGGUUUUGCUCUAGCUUCUUUUGUGUGGAUCAACAUGCUUCCUGUAUGUAUCUUUUAUGUGAUUAAUUUUACUCCACUUGUGGUGGUUAUAAAUAUAAUGCAAUUUUGGAUGUAUAUAAUUGGAAAUACAACACGUACAUUUGCAGUUCACUCGUUUAGUGGUACUUUAGUCGGGAGUGCUGCAACUACAAAUGUUGUGUUUGAUUGCUUGUAAUCGGUAAGGGGUGCAUUAAAGAUCACCUUACAAACUUGAACUAGCCCAUAUGCAGUUGAGCAUAUUUUUAUUUUGUCGCAUGUGAUUUAGAAACUUUCAUUUCGCUACUUCGUAGUUUUGCUUGUGUUUCUCAGUAAAAAUCAAUCGUUAAAUAGAGUCUGUGAUUCAUUUUAGAAACACUGCAGGGUGGCCAAGCGCAAAUUGCAAAUAUAUAAAACGCUCAUCUUGUAGCAUGUAAAAUGUAUUACUUUGCUGCCAUGUGAUUUAUGUAACUAUAAGUUUGAUAUCUUACUUACCGGCUGAUCAUUACAGUGAAAUGGGUAGUAAAAUGAAAGUUUUUAAACCAUAGGGUGGCAAUGUAAAUACGUGCUAAACCAUGAGGUGCUAAAUAGAAGUUUUUUCUAUUAUUUUAUGGGGAUAAUUGUUGUUAUACUACUAUAAACUAACCCAAAUAACCCAUAUAAAAAUUAUACACCCCUACAAACUGUAAAAAGCUUGCAAAAUUUUCCCUACAAACUUUGAAACUCCACAAAAUUUUUUCUAUUGAUGAAAUGAGUCCAACUACAUUGUUUUUCCAAGCAUAAUUGUUUCUGUGCUUGUAAGUUGUUUUAGAUGAUUAUACUUUCUGAUUAGACGGUCGGCUUUAAUUUUAGACUUGAUUUAGAGCAUUUGUUCUAUCUAAAAAUUAAAUUUGAUACUAUUUUAAUAUUAUUUAUCUAAUAAUUAAAAUAAUUUAAAAUUAGGGGAUGAAAAUAAAAAUUUCGUAAAAAGUGAUGAUUGGAUAAUUUUACGUAGUUAAACUUGCAAACGGUUCAUAUCGAUUAUUAAAAUUAUGAGCUAAUCAUAAGAUAAAUAAUAUCAAAAAAUUUAUUUUUUAAAUAGUUUAGAUAUUUUAAGCCAAAUCUCGAAUCGAAAGUCUCAUCAUUGACAAAUUUAAUCAAGUUUUUAAAAUUACUUAGCAAUUUUUUAGACAUUUAUUUACAAAGAGUUGCUUUAGGAUAUUUCUAAAAAUACCAAUUUCUUAACACUAUCACAUCAUUCUUCAUAACGGGCAUAUGAAUUAGCAAUCCAACAUAACUAGAGGGGUGAUCAAAUAUUAUAAAUUUUCAAUUAAAUUUAUUUUGAAUGUUAGCUAUAUCAGAUUUUGAAAUUAUAUAAUUUUCAAUAUCAAUUUCAAAAGGCCUUUUUGCAUAAAAAAAUCCGCUAGUUUUGAAAUUUUGCAAAAGUUAGCAAUUAUUUUGAAUUUUGUAGAUUAAGCAGGAAUAUUUAGAAAACCGACCAAAAUAUUUUUAUUAAUUUUUCUCUCUCCUUUUUUUUUUUUUUUCUCUCGACACCGACGGCGAAGCCAAAGGAGAAGGACUCAGAGUGGGCGCAGGUGAGGGCAAAGCGGACGAAGACGAUGAGGUCGUGGCCGAGGCGGUCCUCGCUGUCACCGGUGAGGGUGAGGACGAAAACGCUCCCGCGCUUCUCCAAGGAGUGAAAAAAGAUACAGAGUGUAGAAAAAAAAAAUGAAACUAAAUAAAUAAAAAAAUAUUUUUGUCCCCCCUUGAAAGAUCAUUAUAUAUCAUCAUUAUUAUAAAAAAUGUCAGAAAUUAGAGAAGAAUGAAGAAGGAGAUGAAGUUGCACAGUCAAGAUAAAGUUGUAUUGUUUUACAAGAAAAUUACCUUGUUAGAGACGAACGUUACACUGUUUGAAACGAACGUUGUACUCUUUGAGAUGAAAAUUAUAUUCUUUGAAAUGAAAGUUGUACUGUUUAAGUGAAAGUUAUACUAUUUGAACAAAAAUUGCACUCUACAGUCUCCUCGCCGUAGAGGCCUACAACCCUAUUAUUGUCUCGAAGCCGCCCCUCCUCACCUUCCUUCUCGCUUUCCUCGUGCUUCUCCACGCCCUCGGGGUCCCCACCUGCUCGAUCAAGGACACGCUCAAGGUGCUCUAUGGCGUCGCGCUCUACCUGCUCAACCGCCUUGCGCUGGUUGAGCACCGCGCCGUGCCCGCGCUCUUCUCCCUCGUCGUCAAAGACAGGUGUGGGGAGAAAAAUUAAGUUUUUACGGAUAUUAUACGGAUAUUAUACGUUCACCAAUUAAAAAUUCGGGAUAAAAAAUUCGGCUAUUAAAUUAAGUUCUUUUUCUCUCAAAAUUUAUGCUAUUAGCAUAAAUACUCAUAUUUCUUAAGAAUAUAAGAAUAAAUAGCUACAGAAUUAAGCUAAUUAAGUAAAAAAUUCGAAAAGAGUUUUUUUUUUUUUUUGUUUUGGGUGAGGUGUUUAGAAAGGGUUUUUUGUAUUUUUUCUGUUUUGGGCUAUAGCCGGCAUGUGAGCCGCGAGCGCGCGCGGGUGCGGGUGGCACGGGCAGCCUUUUUUUGGCCGAAUAAUUCGGCGCGUGCGUAUAAUACGCGAAUAAGUAUUUUUUAUCAAAAAAUCAUGUUUUUUUCGGAAUUUUUGGGAAAAAUACGAAUUCGGUCGUUUAAUUCGUUUCUUCAAAAAUAUGUAAAUAAUUUGCGAAUUAACUAACAUAGUGUUAAUUAGAGUGAAAGUUAUUUGAAAGGUCAUUUUUGAAGUUAUUGAAGGGCAUGUCAAAUAUUAAAUAUUUAUAAGGGUAUUAGUGAAGAUAUAUAUAUUUAGGGGGGUAUUAAAUUUUUUUCCAAUACAAAUAUGUAGAACUAGGUUACUAUACUAUUAAUAGCACUAAGUUAUUUGUGCUAUUAGAUUUUCAGCACUUGAACGAAGGGAUGUGCGGUUAAGAUGAUAGUAGCUCCCUAAGCUUGAGUGAGUGGUUGAUUGAAUAGUAUAAUAUUAUGGGUUGAAAUAGUCAACGGGGUAGAUUUAACGGCGGAAAAUUUGAUAGCACCAAGUGCUUGGUGUAAUUGGUAGCAUAGUAGCUUAUAUAUAUAUAUAUAUAUAUAUAUAUAUAUAUAUAUAUAUAUAUAUAUAUAUAUAUUGCAGGGCUACUAUAUUUUUAUGAGUAUAAAGUUUUUUGUACUCAUAAGUUUUUUUCAAUAAUUGAGCUUCUGAAUCGAUGAUCCACAUUGUUAAAUAUGAUUUAGGGCAUUUGAAAUUUCUAGAAAAUAAAUUUCGUAAUUUUCCAAAAUUAUAAUAAAGUCCAUUAAGUGAAUAUAAAAUGAACAGUCAAAUUGAACGACUUCCUAAAAAUAGAUGAUCAAGUCCUUCAAUUUUAAGAUAGUAGUUAUUGAUCUUUAUCUAAAUAGUGAAUAGAAUUUUUUAUUAAAAAUUUAAUCAAUUUUGAUUCUUUUACAUCGUAAAACUAACAAGUAUUUCAUACUGGUCAUUACAAAUUAUCAAUUUCGAGAUCUUUUGAUCAUAAAGUAAAUGAUGUCAAAAAAUUAUAAAAUUUGAUUUUUAGAAGUUUUAAAUGCUCUAAAUCAUAUUUAAUGGUAUGAAUCAUAUCAUCGAAAAGGAUUUAUAAAUACGAAGGCUAUCAUAUUCAUAAAAGUAUAAUAGUUAGACUCGGAAACAGUAGGACUACUAUACUCUUAUGAGUAUAGAUUUAUUUGUACUCAUAAGUUAUUUUUGAUGAUAGAGUUUUCGAAUCGACGGCUCAUAUCAUUAAAUAUUAUCGAGAAUAUUUAAAACUUUUAGAAAAUAAAUCUCGUAAAUUUUUCAAAUAUUAAAGUCCAUCAAACAGGCAUAAAAUGAAUGGUCAAAAUAGAAUAAUCUCUUAAAAAUAGAUGAUUGGAUUCUUCAAUUCAAACUCGAAGUUAUUGAUCGUUAUUUUGAUGGUGAAUAAAACUUUCUAUAAAUAAUUUAACCAAUUUCGAUUCUUUUACACCAUUAAAUUAGCAAGUUUCCAUACCAGCCGUUAAAAAUUAUCAAUUUUAAGAUUUUUUGAUCAUAAAGUAAAUGUUUUUGAAAAAUUAUAAAACUUAAUUUCUAAACGUUUUAAAUAUUUUAAAUCAUAUUUAAUGGUAUGAAUCGUCGAUUCGGAAGCUCUAUCAUCAAAAAUGACUUAUGAGUACGAAGGCGAUCGUACUCACAACAGCUGGACUCUCUCUAUAUAUAUAAUUAAGCUCCUAUACUUUUAAAAGCACCAAGUUAUUGCUGCUUAGAAGUUUUCGGCUCUUGAAUUAAGGGAUGUGCGGUUAGGAUGAUAGUGAUCCCCUAGGGUUGAGUGGGUGGUUGGUUGAAUAGCAUGAUCUAUUGGGCGAAAAUGGUCAAGAAGGUAGAUCUAACAGCGGAAAACUUAGUAGCACCGAGUGUUUGGUGCUAUAGAUAGCAUUGUAGCCGGACUCUAUAUAUAUGGGUUGGAAUGCUUCAAUAGCACUAGAUUAUUGGUGCUUGUGGGUUUUCGGCCCUUCGAUGAACGAUUGUAGACUUAGGAUUAUAAUUGUCUCUAGUGGUGGUUGGUGAAGUAUAAAUAAGCCAAGAAGUAGGAAUAGUCAAAAAGAUAAAUCUAAUGGUAAAAAAGUUAGUAGCAUUACGUACUUGGUGCUAUUAAAAGCAUUCUAGUUGGGCUCUCUCUCUCUUUCUAUAUAUAUUGAAAAGAUUGUAGACAAAUACAAUUGCCUUAAUUUCAGUCUUAUUCUGGUUCUUAAUUAUGGAAACCACAUUAGAACAUUCCUAUUUUUGAAUAAAUGGUAUCGAACAAAGCAAAAAAAAAGAGAAAAAAAGUCCUCAGUGGAGAAAGAGACGUGCAAGAAGGAGACUAAAAAAUAGAUUGUUAUAGUAGACAAUUUGGAGAAUAAAAUUAGAAAUCUUUUUAAAAAUAAAUUUUAUAUAGAAAGUAAAAAAUAAUUCAAGUUUACUGCCCAAAUUUUGGCCGGACAAUCAAAAGACUGAAGAAGGUGACGAACGACCAAGAAUGUACAAGAAUUAGAAAAAGAAAAAGUGAAGAUGAAAAGAGUCUAAAGAAUUGAACCAAAUUUAUAUAUUUUUGAGCUCUAGAAAGAUAUUUAUGUGGCACUUAUUUAGGGAUAAAUCGUGCGGGGGUACAUGAAAAUUUAUUUCCAAAAAAAAAUAAAAAUAAAAAAGUAUUUGGCAUGAUAUUGCAAUUAUUUAGAAGUUCAGGGACUAAAAGUUGAAAAACCGACCAAGUGGGCGUCAUUUCUCCAACGGCCAACCCCUUCUCGGUAACGACCAACCGGUAGAAUGUAAUAAACAGAAGCAGCAGCACUUCCCCUCAUUUCUCUCCUCCUCCGACGGAACCAUCGCUCUCUCAAAACACUACCCCCCUUCCCCCAAAACCCUAAUCCUCUUUCCGCCAUGGACUACGAUCCCGGCCUUCCUCCUCGCGAUCAUGGCGACUCCAACGAUCCAAACCCUAGCUUCGAUCAUGGACCCGUCGCUGCCGAAAUAGAGGGUUCGAGCAAUGCCGAAGCAAAUCAUCAGCGUGGGAGAAACGGACGUGCACCCUCGGAUCUGUGCAGUGGAGGGGAGAUCGAAACCGAGGAGGAGGAAGAGGAGGAAGAGGGGUUUCGCAGCCCUGGAAAUAGUGGCUACUAUGGAGAGGGGGAAAUUAGCUCGGCAUUGGCUCGGAUCGAAGAGGUUGAUGAUGGUCGGAACUCGGCGGAGAUUUGGGCUCGUUGGAAACAUCAUAGUAAUGAGGUGAGUCUCGUGAUUAUUACAUUUAGUGAUAGGUAUUUUUAACUUGGGUUGUUGCCAGGUAUACUUGGUGAAUUAAAUUGUCAGAUAAUCAAUGCAGGUGCAAUUUUUUUUUUUUCUUUUUUUUUCUGAUGUUGUUUGAUAGUAUGUUCAAUUCUCAUAUUGUUGCAAUCUUCUUCUAUCCAUUAAUAUCGGAGCUAUUUCAUAAAUUGUAAUAUGCUAAAUAUGUUGCUUGCUAAUAUAUUAGGUGAAAUACUAUAUCAUUCUCCAGGAUUCAUCAAUAUCUAAGCAAAAUCAUGUUCGUUUAUAUCUCAAUCCUUUCUAUGCUUUUUCUGUGUGAUGCUCAACUUUCAAAAGCUUUAAGCUUUUUAUGCAAAAUUAUGGUGUAUUUCAGGGUGUUGUUUCUUAUUAUGCAUUGUUAAUUUUUUGGUCAUGUAAUACUUGAUUUUUAACUGAAGAAUAGGAUGAUGCUUCAGCCUCAUGGAGAAAGCGGAAGAAGCACUUCUUCAUUUUGAGCCACUCAGGCAAACCAAUAUAUUCUAGGUAUGCUGAGAUUAGUUGCUUAUCUUGUCAGUUUAGGACAUGUUUGGCAUGACCAAACCCUGUGAAGUUCUACAGAGGGCUUUUGUGUGAGGCUUGUCGAGAUAUCAUAAUAAAUUUUUCAUUGAUAACCACCAGUGGCUUCCUGCUGCAACAAAAGUGGAAGCUGUAUACUGGAACUUAUUCUUUUGGAAUGCAGAAUCUUAUUUUAGUUUCAUGUUGAAGAAAUUUAUUUGUCGAAUGUUCAGCUUUUGCUUUUCGUAUUAGAGAAGAUAUUUCAGAAGCCAGAUCCAACAACAACUUAACGUUGACAAUUAAUUGUUGUUCCAAGUACAAAAAGGUUUAUACAUCCUAAAUAUUGAAUCAGAUAAUUACCGUAUAUGGAAUCUUUUUGACACUUUUUAGGUACGGAGAUGAACACAAACUUGCAGGAUUUUCGGCAACCUUGCAAGCUAUUAUUUCCGUUGUAGAGAUCAGGUAUGCUUAAAUCCGCCUUUUUAUUAUGUUAAUAUUAUCAUGGACUUGGGAAUCUAACCUAUUAACAAAUAGCAAAUAUGAUGCCAUUACAUUUUGUCUUUAUUCAGUGGGGAUCAUGUCAAGUUGAUCAGAGCAGGAAACCAUCAGGUUAUAUAACUUUUGUGAUUUCUCCAAAUUUGUUCUUUUUGAUCUUAUUGUGAAUUCCAAAUGUAGGGUUUGUCGAGCUGAAUUAGUAAUUUUGUGUAGGUAGUUUUUCUUGUGAAAGGUCCAAUAUACUUGGUUUGCAUAAGCUGUACCAAAGAGCCAUGUGAAGAAUUAAUGGGACAACUAGAGCUCAUCUAUGGUCAGGUGAGACAUUAAUUUUUAUCUUUUGUUAUACCUACUGUACUUUCCAUUGCAUCUUCUGCAGUUUUCUUUUUUUUUUGGCACUAACAUUAUCGUCCUUUUGUGUCGGUAUGCUGCCAGAUGUUACUCAUCUUGACAAAGUCAAUUGAUAGGUGCUUUGAAAAGAAUCCAAAUUAUGAUAUGACUCCAUUGCUAGCAGGAACUGAUCUUGUUUUCUCCUCUCUUGUGCAUGCCUUCAGCUGGUUUGCCCUUUAUGCAUUGCCUGUAAAUACUUAGUUUGGGGUUUGAAUAUAUUUUACAGCUCAGUUCAUCUACUUCAAUUAAAUACUAUAGACAAGUAGUAUUGUGUUUAUUUAAACAUAUGGUAAGCAACAGAAUUGCAGUAAUGCAGUAUUUUUUAUACAUUGUCUUCCGGGUUGAUAAAGAAGAUGACAAAAAGGCAAUACCACCAUCAAACUUUUCCCUUUCUCUUUUCAAUUAAACUGGUUAUUGUUGCCGGUUAACGGCCAUGUCUUAAGAACGUACUGUUAUUUGGAAUCAAAGUGCUUCUCCAGAAUUUGAUCAGGUGCUUCUUAAAACAAUACUCACCAAGGAUCACAACUAAACUUCUUUCCUAGAGAAAUACAUAUAUACAAAAAUAUGCCUUGUGGUACAAAUCAAUUAAGAUGAUAACUGUCCGAAUUAGAUUGGUGGGCUGGCUACUUUAUUUCAGUAAAUUAAAGUUGGUAUUUCACAUGCCUACUACAUGUUAGAGUAUGAUGCAAAAAUAGGAUAAAAUGAAAAAGUAUAACAUGGUCUUGAAUGAUGUUUGUUGACAUUUGUUUACCUUUCUUCAAGGAAUCCAUCGAUAUUUCUUCAUGCAUAUACAUGCCUCCCACUUCCUUAUGCAACAAGGCAAGCAGCAAGUGCAAUUUUGCAAGAUGUUGCCGAUUCAGGAAUUCUUUUUGCAGUAUUGAUGUGUAAGCACAAGGUUUGGCUAAAAUUUUAGCUUGAGGACAGAGUAAUGAGAAUUAAAAUGGUCACCUUUAUUUUCAUAGAUUUGAAGCAUUCAACACAAAUUUGUUCAAGCCAGAUUAAAUUUGCAUUGCUUCAACUUUAGUGCACUUUAUCAUUAAGCUUUCCUAUUUCAUCAUGUGUUCUACUAUUAUUAACACAUGAGAAGUUGCUGCAUGAGCAUUGUUUUUUUUUUUUUUGUCUAUGUGAUACUGAUAGUUAUCAAUUCAUUUAUUGUAUCAACUGAUAUUAAAAUGGUAACCUUUAUUUUCAUAGAUUUGAAGCAUUCAACGCAAAUUUGUUCAUGCCAGAUUAAAUUUGCAUUGCUUCAACUUUAGUGCACUUUAUCAUUAAGCUUUUCUAUUUCAUCAUGUGUUCUACUAUUAUUAACACAUUAGAAGUUGCUGCAUAAGCUUCUUCUUUUUUUUUUUUUUUCUAUGUGAUACUGAUAGUUAUCAAUUCAUUUAUUGUAUCAACUGAUUACGAUGUCUUGAUUUAUUUGCCAUCAGAAUAAUGAUUAGUAGUUGAGAUGAAAUAGAUGGAUGAGGUAGUUCUUGAAUAUUCUUUGUCCUUGACAUUUGUUGUUCUCUUUACUUUAUGGCCUCAAGUGUGGCCUGUAAAUUAGGGCUCAUCUCGGCAUAAGUCAGGCUAGGCCCAAGCUAUGGUUAGGCUUAUUGUAAGCCUAGAUCCAGUUCAUUAACACCCAAAAUGGUUUCACAUGUGAACAAUGAGACAGACUAUUUUCUGUCACAGACUUAAGUUUAAAAACUUUAGUAAGUAAAACAGCAAUCUGUUCAAAAUAGUAAUGUAAAACAACAAUUAUUUCAAAUAACUUUUGUAGCUACAGUGUACAAAAUUUGUAAGGAAGGUGUUACAUUUCCCCAACUUUCUUGAACCAUUUGUCAAUACUAAUAUACCUCAAUGAUGAUUACUUCUUUCAACAAGCACUUGAAACACAUUCUGUUAAAAUGCUAGAGGUUGCACUGGAAAUGCUGAAGAGAUGAUAUCUGUUUCAUUUCUGAACAACAGUGUGAGCAAAGUUGGUGUGUUCAUAUCCAAACUCAAGAUGAAGGAUUAUUAUGCGAUCCUUGUCCCUAGAUAUUUAUGUAAUUUCUUUCUAGACAUUGAUACUGUGAUUGAAAAAUCUCCUGUACAUUUUUUGCACUCUUGGUUUCUUCAUAGGAAUAGUUGUUCAUAAAUUUGUAUUGAGUGCUUCAAUCUCCGGCCACUUUUAGAUUGGGUUGAUCAAUUUGCCGUUAAAAAUUUCUGUCCGCCAGGUUAUCAGUCUUGUGGGAGCCCAAGACGCAUCUCUUCAUCCUGAUGACAUGCUCUUACUUGCCAAUUUUAUAUUGUCUUCUGAAUCUUUUAGGUAAUUUCUAAGACAAAUAGAACUUAGAAUUCUACUUUUUCUUUUUAUGCGUAAUGAGUCAAACUUAAGUGCCUUAAACAGGUUAUCAUUCCAUUGCACUUGUGGGGUGUAAAACCAAAAGAUGACUUUCUAAAGAAUCACAAGCUCAUUAAAGAGGCAAUGGCCUCACAUUCUGUGUUUGCUCUGUGCAGGACAACUGAAACCUUCUCGCCGAUAUGCUUACCAAGAUAUAAUCCAAUGGCAUUUCUUUAUGCUUAUAUACAUUUCUUUGAUGUGAGUGUAAUAUUUAUCCCUAAUACUCGUAUGCAUAGAAUUGAAUCACUGAUUCAAUUGAUACUAGAUGGUUCAGCAUAACUUGCAUCAUGUUUCAUUAAAACACUUUCAAAUGCUAAAAUUUUUCUGUAUUUUGCCAUUCUUUUGUAGGUAGAUACAUACCUGACACUGCUUACUACCAGUUCAGAAGCCUUCUACCAUCUCAAAGACUGCAGGUUAUUAGCUACUCCUCAAAGUACUAUGGGACUUAAAUAGCUCAAGUGCACAUUAGUGAUGAGCCGAAAACUGUAAUUUCACUUUUGUUAACAAUGCCUAGGAUUCGCAUUGAAAACGUGCUUUCAAAAUCAAAAGUUCUCAUUGAAAUUCAGAGAUCCAUUUUAGAAGGUGGUUUGUUUGUUGAAGAUCUCCCUUUUGGUGUCUCUCUUCAAUCUGGAGGUGUGGACGCAAAGAUGUCUGAAUCUUUAUCCUCUUUCAUGGGCCUCGGCGUGCCAGGGGGGCUUUGGCAUUUCAUAUAUAAGAGUAUUUACCUUGACCAGUAUGUUUCAUCAGAGUUUUCCCCACCUGUAAGCAAUUCUAAUCAACAGAAAAGGUACUGCAAUUGGCUGUGAAGUAUAAUUUAUAUAUAUAUAUAUAUAUAUAUAUAUAUAUAUAUAUAUAUAUAUAUAUAUAUAUAUAUAUAUUCUUUCUUUAUAAUUUUUUUUAAGUUAAUUAUUCAUCUGCAGAUUGUUAAGAGCUUAUCAGAGGUUAUAUGCUUCCAUGCAUGAUAUAGGAAACAGUUCACACAAAACACAAUUCAGAAGAGAUAAUGAUUAUGGUAAGUCAUGUAAAAAGAUUCUAAUUUUUGUAAUGGAAAUGAUCGAAGGAUGUGGGUUUCUCAAAUCUCCUUCCUGGUCAAGUCUUUGUUAUAUAUUCAUCGAAGUAGCAAGGUAAAACCGCAAUUCCAGUGUGCUGGAUUAGCGAACAACUUAUACUGAGAUUCUAACUUUGUUUUGCUAUUUUACCAGUUCUACUAUGUUGGAUUACUCCAGACUUUGAGCUUUAUGCAGCGUUUGAUCCACUAGCUGACAAGGUUUAACUCUAUAUUCUCCUUUACCUUUUGUUUUUUCCUUUAUGAACUUUAUUAUCUGACACCAUGAAGAAGAAGGGACAGAGGGGUGAUGCUGGAAUCCUGCAUCCAAGUAAAAACAGACCCUAAAAUUGUGAUGAACCAACUCCAUAUCAACCAUAUAUAAAAUACUUUAGGAUCUAAACAAAGGUAGCUAUGCCAUCUGCUGAAUGUCUUAACCAAUAUCUGUGAUGCUCUGACUGCAGUAGAUUUUGGCAUCCAUAACUGGAUAUUUUAUUGUAUUCAUUACUCUGUCUUUUUAGUUAUUAUAGUCUAAUAGAUUUUCUUCAGUAAGUUACAAUGCGAUUCACUGAACUUUCACUUCAGUCACUAAAUUUCAAGAUUGUUGCAACUGAAGCAUCAAACGUUGAUGUCUAUUUCAAUAACAUCCUUCUGCUAAACUCUUUUCAAUUUCAUUAAUGGAAGGAUUAUAGAGGGAUGACAUAGUAGGUGACUCGGAUACUAAUACAUGCCUCGGGAUGAUAUGAUAGUUAAUUCAACCGUCACAUUCUCUCAAGAUUUUUGUGAAAUAAGGGUCUGAGAUGAUAUGACAACUAAAUCGGCUACAACGUUAUACCACCAUUAGGAAAUUGAAAUGGAAUUCGACAGAGACUUCCACUAGAAUAGAUAUAAGUUUCAAUACAUCAAUUGUAACAAAUAGAAGUUCGUCGACCUGAGCAAAAUGUUGCAAUAAGUAUAAUGACUGGAUGAUGUAAUUUCUCUGGUUUCUUUUUUAGGAAUAAGAAUAGCUAGCUGUUUGCCUCGGAUUGCUGCUAGAACUCAAGGAUUGUAGGGAAUCAAGUAUAAAUUUGAAUGCUUUCUUACUUGAGCUUAUUAGAUGUGCUUUGCAUUGUAAAUUUGCAGGUUCUAGCAGUAGAUAUAUGCAACAAGGUAUGUCAAUGGGUGAGAGAUUUGGAAAAUGAGAUAUUCUUCCUGGGAGCAAGCCCUUUUUCCUGGUGAUCUUUCUUCCGGUGUAAGCACUCUCUACAGUAUGUAUUAGUUAUUUCUUUCUAUGAAGUUUUGCAUCUAUGCGAUCAGUGUGAGGAGCUGAGGGUUGCCUUUUCUAAUUUUUUAUGCACAAUAUAAUGUUAUAUAUAUAUAUAUAUAUAUAUAUAUAUAUAUAUAUAUAGAGAGAGAGAGAGAGAGAGAGAGAGAGAGAGAGAGAGAGAGUCCAACUUGUGUGCUUUUAGAAGUACGGUGGCCUCCAUAUUAUCAAGUCUUUUCUGAUGUUGGAUAUAUGAAUCGACGAUUGGCUCUGUAAAACUUGAUCUAGAAUAUUGAAAUUAUCUAGAAAAUAAAUUUUGUAAUUUUUCGAUAUAAUUUACUUCAAAAUGACUCAAUAUCAACGGUCGAAAAUAAAAAUCUCACAAAAAAGAAAGGGCACGUAGGCACAAUGACUUCUGACUUAUUAGUCUCAUAAUUGAAAUUCAAAAAAUUAUCUCCAAAGUCCUUGCCAACAGGCUCGCCCAAGUGAUCCCAUCUAUUAUCUUGCCCACAUAAUCAGCCUUCCUAAAAAACCGUCAAUUGGCCGACUCGUUCGUCACAGCCAGUGAGCUAGUUGCUUGGUGCUCUAAAACUGGAAAAGAGUGUGUAAGUAUCAAGGUAGAUUUGAAAAAACCUUCGACAAUGUUAGGUGGUCUUUUUUGAAAAAUAUAAUAACGUAGAUUGGGUUUAGCGACAAAUGGUGGUCCUAGAUCGAAAAGUGUAUCUAUUUUUCCAAAGUGGCAAUUUUAGUGAACGAGGUCUUGACAAAAUGGAUUAAAUUGAAAAAGGGCCUUAGACAAGGGGACCCACUAUCCCCCUAUCUUUUUUUCUUGGUAGCUAAUUGCCUUGCUAGACUAUUCUGAAGCUGCCAGGAAGAACUGUCACGCCCCGGGGUCCAUUUACAAAUAUUUUUUAAGAACAACAAGACUUUCAAAACGGUUUACAAAAAGGGACCCCGGGGCGUGAUAAGAACACGUUCCUUUGCGAAAUCGGGCCUUCUGACGACUGUGAAACCGUCCUUAUCCAAUAUGCCGACAACACAAUCUUCUUCUGUGAGCCCAUAUAACACACACUACGAAAUCGCCAGUUUGUAUGGAAACAACCCACACAAAGCUUCCAGACUCGCCGGUAUAUUGGGUUGUAAAGUAGGCAAGCUUCCCUUUCGUUACCUGGGACUACCACUCCACAAUAAGCAACUUAGAAAGGAAGAUUGAUCUUUGGUCAUCAACUGUAUCAAUUCGAGAAUUGAAGGAUGGAAAGCAAAGCUCCUCUCUCAAGGGGGAAGACUCAUCCUCGUCAACAAUCCUCUCUAACCUACCGCUUUUCUUCUUCUCCAUUUUUAAGGCCCCUAAGUGGGUUUUGCAUUGCAUUGAAGCUUUAAGAAGGGUCUUCUUUUGGAAAGGCUGUGCCAAAAUUACUGGUGGAUCUUGCUUGGUAAGCUGGAAGACCGAUUGCAAAGGCAAGAAAGACAGAGGGUUAGGGAUCAAGGACAUGGAAUGGAUGAAUACGGUGCUAUUAACCAAAUAGUGGUGGCGAUUCUUCAACGACCCUAAUUUGCAUUGGAACAAGCUGGUGAGAGCAAUCUACUACAACAGAAGAAGACCUCUGCACGAGGGAAGAGCUUUUGUGCCCACUGGUGGCGAAGUGUGUUGCGCUGUUGAGAUGUCUUCAAAUGCGGUGCAUUAUACAAGCUUGGUGACGGCAAAGAUAUCCGGUUGUGGUAUGACAUCUGGACUGGAGAAACCCCUUUGAGUACCCAAUUUCCAGAGUUCAUUGAUAGGCUACAGAAUACAGAUGUUAGAGUAUCACAGUACUGGAAUUCAAACGGUUGGCGAUAGCGUUUUAUCUGUUGCGGAUCGGCUGCGACCUCCGACUCACAGAGUUGUAUUCAGCUCCUACAGCUUAAGGAUUUGCUUGAGUCGUAUUCAACAACUAUAGCUUAAGGAUUUGCUUGAGACCUUUUGCCCUACCUCCAGGCUGGACUCGGUGCACUGAUGUUGGACUUCCAACCAACGCUUUUCUGUCAAAUCCCUCUACACGUUUCUUUCCGACAUUGGAACGAGAGAUCCAACCUUUUACCUUAUUUGGUGUCUGCAUAUCCUUGUUAAAAUCAAAGUCUUCCUUUGGUUGCUCCUACGAAAGAGACAACUAACUGUCGAUCGACUACAUAAACGUGGCCUGCUGGUGGACCAAAAGUGUCUUGUGUGCUUUUGAUAUGGAAAACCGUGAUCACAUUUUUAGUCACUGUGUUUUCGCUAGAUACCUACUCUACGCAGAUGGACUGAUCCUCGCAGAAUCCAUGGAGGACGUUCGUAGCCUAUGGAGAAGGGCUUAUAGCCUAGACGAUUCAGGGAAGAGCACUAAAAGCUCAACCCUCGUGUCAUCCAUCUGGUGGGUGGUUUGGACAGAAAGGAACAACUACAUCUUCAAUGAUAACUACCCCGUUCUUUACCAUGGGGAAAAAAUAGGACAUAUAGAGAAAUAGUUUGAAGUUUGAACAUUCAAAAUAUGCAAAAGGAACAUACCAAAGAGCUAGACCUAGUUUUAAACACAAAAUUAUGAAACAAAGCAUAGCUACUAUAUGUGAUUUACAAUACAUAGUUCUUGCGAAAAAAUAAAUUUUUGUAUGCAUUCCCAAAUAAAAAGAUUUUCUAUCAUCAGUAACAAUAAAAUAAACAAAAAAAAAUAACAAAGCACUUCAAAAAAGAUGCAUACCUUCCUGUUUCGAGCAAGUCUCAAUCUCUUAAUUUUCCCAAACUGCUUAAAGAAUCCUGUAUUAAAGCAAAAUGAACUUCUAAAGUACUCAAUCUACAACAAUCACAAGAAAGUUUGAUCUCUCCAAUAACAACACAAAAAAGCAAGUCACCUUCCAUCUGUUCCUCAUAAAACCCAUGAGGAAUGUGCCCGAUGUACAAAACCGUCGCAGUAUCUUUCUUUGGCUCCUCCUUUUCCACUUUCCCUCCCCAGAUCCCCUUCUAAAGGCCACAAUUGUACCAAAAAGAACGAUUUUUAAUCCAAAAAAGAUAAAAACAAUAAUAAGGUGAAAGUGCAUGGAGACCAAGGUUUUAAGUGCCUGUCGGCACGAGCCGUAUCGUACCAACAAGAUACGGGCACGAUAUAGAUCCCGUGCCAACAAGAUACCGGCACGAUAUAGAUCCCGUGCCGAUGGCACAGCUCAAAACCCUCUAUUUUUUAAAUUAGUAAAUAAUUUCCUCAAUAAAGAUCAAAAGAUGUGAUAAAAAGACAUAAUAAAUAGUUAGAAUAUUUUGUUGCUAAAGAAAUUAAAUAUUUCAUACUAUUAUGUGUCGGCACACAAGAAUUUUUUUGACCGGCACGCAUCGGCAAGGCUCGGCACGCACCGUGCCGUACCGUGCCGGCAAGUUUCCGGCACUACCCUGUGCCACGGCACUUAAAUCCCUGAUGAAGACCUCCUCAACAACAAGCCACCUAAAAUCAACCGCUAAACUACUGUUUCAUUUGAUUGAAUUGCUUUAAAAGUGUUUUUUUCUCAACAUUGAACUGGGGAUUCAUUUAAAUUAACAACUCUCUUGGCUCUCAGCCAUCCACAGUAACAAAAAAAAAAGUUUAGGUGGAAAAAUGUUACAAACAGUUAUAUUUAACAUAAACACUUCUAAAUUUAGCAAAAUCCCUAAUUUAAUUGAUAAAAACACCAUAAAUCGAAAGACAAGUCUCAAAUCAAAAAGCCAUAGCUGAGGGCUCGAUCCAGAGUGUCCUAGAGUUGAUAAAUCCCAUGUACAUAUUUACCAAAUAACAUGCAUAAGUGCGAUAAAUUCUAAAAAAUGAGGGAAAAAAUGAAGAAAAUUUGAAAAAUACCAAGAAAUCGGUGGAAGAUUCGUUCUUGCGAUGAGAAAGCGUGAGCUGAGCAGAAACUUUCUUCAGAUUUUUCUUCAAAGCCUUCUUCGCCUUCGCCCCCAUCCUAGGUCAAAAUUAGUCGCUAAAAAUCGAAAAAUUACGAGGAAAUUAGGAAUUAAUUGGGGCAAAACCUGGAAUUGGAGAGAAAUAGAGAGAAACAAUAAGGGUAUGUUUGGUUCAAGGAUGGAAUUGGAAUAGAUAAUGGAAUGGGAAUGAAUUGGAAUGGUAAUUGAAAUGGCCCACUCCCCCAUGACGUUUGGUCCAUUUGUGGAUUGGAAAUUGUUAUUCCCAUUCCAUUGUUUGGUUCAUAUAAACUAAAAAAUUAUAGGAUCUCAUAAUAUUAAUUUAACACUCAAAUAUGAUUUUAUAUUAUUUAAAAUUUAUGAAAAAUAAAAUACUAUUCUCUAAUGAGUUUUCCAAAAAAAAUAUCAAGUUUAUUUUUAAAAACUUUUAUGCAAGAAAAAAAUUAUAAAAAAUAUCAAACACUAUCUAAAAUAUAACAAAAGCGAAAUAAGAUAGACUAAUCCAUUUUUAGAACAUCAAAUAUCAAAACUAUAAAAAUGCACUUAUCUUCACUUGGUAAGAAGACAAAAUACAAUGAUAGUAUCAUCAGAAAAAUUACAUCAAUAGGUUGUCAAACACCGUACAAAGUAUAACAAAAGCGAAAUAAAACAUAAAUGUAUUUGUAAAAUAUCAAAUACCAAAACUACAAAAGUGCAUUUAUCUUCGCCUAAUGAAAAAAGGAAAAAAAAUAUAGCAACAGUAUCAUUAGAAGAAUUACAUCAACUGAAGUACGGUACUCAAUAUGACAAAAUAAAUGACAACCACCUAAAGCUUAACAAACACAAAUGAAAACAUCAUAUAGCUUAACUUUUCUAAAGUUCUUUCAAAGUAGAUCCUGCUUUAGACUCUCCAACACUCAAAUUAAGAACAUCCUGCCAAAAGAUUUAAUUACAACUCGUAAGUUUAAAGUUGAAACUAUUGGUUUGUGACAGAAAAGAAACUGAGAAAGCGCGAAAACGAGGGUUUAUUGGAAGGUUCUCUCUCUCACCCCCAGAGAGACGCUUUGAGAGAAAGCGCGAAGAAGACGAAGGGAGAGAGAUCCUCGUCCUCUUUCUCUCUCCAGCAUCUCUCCACCCUCUCGAUCUCAUCUCUCCUCCCUCUCGAUCUUAUAGGCAUCAAGGUAAGAAAAAUCUUAAGGCUUGUUUGGUUCAUCAAAUUUAGAUAUGGAAUGAAAAUCGGUUUGAUCAAAUUCGAUUAAUUUUGUUGGUUCGCAGGAAUAGGUUUGGAAUUUCUAUUCCGGACUGGAAUGGGAAUGGCCUAUCAACCUUCAACUUGAUUCCUGACUCUACGCCCGAAUUGAGAUUUCAUUCCAGAAGCCCACCAAGCCCCGAAGACCAUGAGACUCUCUCACCCUUCUCAUGAAAAUAAAAAAUAAAAACCCUAUCCCUCACCCCUCUCACCCCUCUCUCAAAACCCUAUCCCUAACCCUAGCGGCGCCGCGAACGCACACGGUGGCGCCGCAAACGCAGCACGGCGGCGACGUAGGGCGGCGUGGCGGCGAGACUCGGCAGAACGAUAGCGAGAUGGGGCGGCAUGGUGAGUUGGUGCAGCGGCGUGGCGACGUGGAGGAGAUUAUUUGAAAUACUCUAGCUUCGUCACAAAGGUUUAAUCUCUUUUUUAAGCCUUCUUUCUCAAAUCUCUUUUUUAAGCCUUCUCUGCUCGAAAGUCUAAUUAUAAGCUAUAGUGAGAUCAAAAGGUUGUGGUAGCUGUUUUUCUUUUGUUAACUUAUUUUUCUAACACAAAUUCCACGCGAUUCAGCUAGUAUUAUCAGCUAAACAGCAUAUGUAACCACACAAAUUUUUUACUUGCAGAGUGAUCAAAAAAUAGUUCUCUGGCACCUUCAACUGUCAUAUAGGAAAAAAGAAUUGUUACUCAAUUCUGGUCUAGUUCUACAUUGCGUGGCGGCGUGGUGACGUAGUAUAAUGAUCUAACAUCUAUAUGUGAAUAUAAGAAUAGAGCAAUACAGAGAUCAAAUAAAAAAUAAAUAAGUUGAAAAAUAUCAAGAUAAAAUACUAUACAAGGAAUAUAUGCCCAUAGUUAGUUAAUUCGUAAAUUAUUCGCGAAUUAUUCGUGAAUUUUUGAAAUCCCGAAUAAAACGUCCGUUUUUAAAUUUUUAAAAAAAAUUUGAAAAAAAUCACGUUUUAUUGGAUAAAAGUAAUUAUUCGCGAAUUAAACGCAGUUCGCGAAUGAUUCGGCUCAAAAAAAACGUCGCCGUUGCUGCGACUGCGAUGCGGUCGCGGGCCUCGCGCGUGGCCCAAAACAGAAAAGAGUUCGCAACUCUCCAAAAAAAAAAAAAACAAAAAACAAAAAAACACCCUUCUCUGAAAUCGCCCCCUCCCAGUCUCCCAGACUCCCAGCCCCACCCCCACCCCCACCCCUCCCAAAAAAGGGUUUGCCCUGAUAAGCUUAUCACCCCUGCGGCGGUGCGGCCCUGCCACCGACCCGUGCGGCGGUCGCGGUCCCUUCCCCUCCCCCUCUUCCCUUCCGGCUGCUCGCCGAACGCAAUCGGAAGCCCUCCUCUCCAGAAAUCGAAGAUCGAGUUCUUCACUCUUCAGAAAUCGAAACCCUCCUCGUCGCCUCUUCCUCUUCCGCUUCCGCUAUCCAACGAUAUAUAGAUCAGUAAUAAGGUGGUUCUUUACAAACCAAGUACGAUUUGAGUUUUCAUUCUUUAAAGCAAAAGUUGGAAGCUUUUAGUCCAUCUGAUGGAUACUUUUUUAUACACAAAUGGCUCGAGUGCUUAAAUUGAAUGUGUCCAUUCUCUGUUAUGCACCUUAAAUUGUUAAGAACUUAAGACCCAAACAUAGAGCUAAAUAAUGUUAAUUAACCUAGGGACCAGGAACUCUUGUAUUAUACCUAAUCAAUUUCAUGAUCUUGUCGACACUUGCAAAAGGAAAAUUUUGUUGUGGUCUUUCAUGGAAAAUUUUGUUGUGGUUAAAUCAAGAGUCGGAGUUCGCUGAUUAUAAUUACUAAAACUUUCUGUGUUUGUAUGCUCUAUAUUUAUUCAAGCUUUUAUGUAUGUUUAUAUGUGGAAUUAUGAACUUUAUGUAUCUUUUAUUUGUUUACUGUUUAGACUUUAGAAUUUAGAUAUGCUAGUAUGCUGUUAUGCACUAUGCAAAGUCCCUGUUUCAUCUUGGAUUUAAUUUCUAACUAUGCUUGUAUGUGAAUCUUUUAUAUUUUACAUUUAAAUAUGGACUAUCUUGAUCUCUUAUUUGCUUAAUUAUUUAUUUUUUUUAGGCAUAAUAUAGUUUAUUAUUUUUUUAUUUAAUUUUGUAGCUCUUUAUUCUUAUAUUCUUAAAAAAUAUGAAUAUUUAUGCUAAUAGCAUAAAUCUUGAGAGGAAAAAAAUUUAAUUUAAUAGCCGAAUUUUUGAUCCCGAAUUUUUAAUUGGUGAACGUAUAAUAUCCGUAUAAAUCACAUAUCCGAAUAAUUGACUAAUCUGUUUUUUAGCCGAUUUUUUCAACGAAUUUAAAAAUUAGAAGACGAAUUUUAUCCGAAUUAUACCCGUACCUAAUUUUUGCCGAAUCCGAAUUAACUAACUAUGUAUAUGCCUUAGGAGAGAGAUUAUAUAUUUUGAGAGAAAUGCUCUAUGAUUUAGCGUUUUAUUAGUCCACAAUUAUUGAGAGAAAAAUUAAGUUUCAGAAUUUCUAUUAUAAAACUGACUAAACACAACAUAAUACUUUCUCCCGAUAAUUGAUAUUAACAGCUUCAGUUUUGAUAGGAACAAAGCAAAUUCUUAUAUUGACUAUUUUACUAAGUACCAAAUGAUCACAGAUAAAUAUGAAUAUUUAGUAUCCAUUACCCUCUCUCAACUAAUAAGGGAUAUAAUAAUACAUCAUAGUUUAAAAUCCAAUUAGAUAUGUGGACAUCACAUUUUAGAUAACAUUGCUUAAUCUAGUCUUGGGACCAAGGUGCAAGCACAAAUAUAUAGAGAGAGAGAGAGACUGACCAUUUUUAAUGAAAGUGACAAAAGACUUAAUGAUCAGUACCCAAAGACCCACAUUUGAAGUCGAGUAGUUUUAUAUUGCUUGCUAAGUUUAUUUUUUUUAAAAUGGGGAAAGCGGUAUCAUGCUCCCAUUCUCUAAACGAAAAAAAAAGUUUUCUUAACAGAGAGAGAGGGUAGUAUAGUGGGUUUAGUAUAAAAGGAGGUUCUAAAAUGGAUGAACAAGAUAAAAUUAUUCAUACCUUUAUCAAGCAUUUGGCCGAUAAGGUCUUUACUUCUUACACUGAUGAUGUUGACGAAAAACUACAAGUGAGCCGGGGAGGGUUGUGAGUGUUGGUUAUUACAUGCUUGGUUGGUUAUGAAACUGCUACUCUAUGCUGUUUUUUUUUUAUCCCCCAUGUUCUUGUAUAUUCUGAUGCUGUUGAUGCUUGGGUAUUGUAAGUUUAAUAUCUGUGGAUUAUUUAUGUAUGUAAAUAUGAGAAGGUUCAGUUAUAAAUAGAUUCAAAUGCAACUAGUGUGUGAAUCAUUAGGGCAGUAUAUUAUUGGGUGAAAUCCUAUAAUAAUUGUGGCAAAAUGUAUAAACCAAGCUGAUUGUGAUUGGUAUAUGGUUGAUCUAUAAAAGCUAAUGAUUAUGAAAUCAAAUACAAAGAGGGAAAGAGGGGCCAUUUAUUUCUCCCUUGUGGGCUUCUUUGUUUCCUUUUUUAAAGGUUGAUUUAUGUUAUGGAUUCUUUGUUGUGUUAAUUUAUACUUUGGAAUAACUCUCAUAGAUAUUAUUCUCUGCUAGUGCUAGUGCAUUUGGGUGCUGCUCAAAAGAAAUAGAUAGAUAAAUGUGAGAGAGGGGAUGGGGUGCAUGAGUUAUUUAUCUUCCUGGACGGAAUCCUGUUUACUUGUGAACUUUAAUACCUGCUAAAAUGUUUGAACUAUAAUUCUUUUUAUUUAUUUGAAUUACCAAACUUUUCUCAGUUUCUUUUCUGUCACAAACCAAUAGUUUCAACUUUAAACUUACCAGUUGUAAUUAAAUCUUUUGGCAGACUGUUCUUAAUUUGAGCGUUUAAUGGAGGGUUUUCUCUCUCAGCCCCGGAGAGGCGCUUCGAGAGAAAGCGCGAAGAAGACGAAGGGAGAGAGAGAGAGAGAGAGAGAGAGAUCCUCGUCCAUGGAGGGCUCCGAUCGCGCUCCGCAACGGUGCCCUCACUGCGCGGGGCCUCUCUCUAAGGACACGGUAUUGAAUUCUCUCUCUUCUUCAUCUGUGAUCUGGUUUCAUGAUCGUUCGAACUCGCCGUGGAUCUAUGCGGAAUUAGAUUUAUACUGUUGACCUUGAUUUGAUUGUGUGGGUUUUGUGACAUCCAUUUGGCAAGUUUGAUGGAAACGCGCGCUAUCGAUCUCUAUGAUCUCGCUGAUUGAUCGUUCUUACUUGCUUUCGAUCGAUGAGAAAUUAGGUUUUUAUUGUUAAUUUGAUAUAAUUUUGCGGUGUUUUUUUCUUUUUCUUUUUUGUCAAUAAUCCUUUGAUAUGUUGGAAGGAAACGAGCUCUUGGACCGUGGCGCCAUUGAUCCGAGACAGCUUCUCCAUGGUGAGUCUCCACCUUCCCUUUCUUUGAAGUCAUAAAUUUGCAUUUGUUUUUCUGAUCUACUAAAUUUAAUUUGAGAUUAUAGUGAAAAAAUUAGUAAUUUAAUUAAAGAAAACCUAGUAACUUCAAAUUUUCAUUUAAAUUUCCUUCGUGGAGCUUGAUUUGGUAAGAAAGAACUUAGUAACUAUUAAUUUUAUGCGGUCAACUUGAAUCGGAAAAUAAAUUUGUUGGGUUUCUUAUUGUUUGAAUCUUGGAGCCCCCUGGUUUUAUUUGAAAAAAGUUGUGUAAAUUUAUUUCAAUCUAUUGAAUGCAGUAAUUUGGAGCUGUUUUGUUGGUUUUCUUUGGUCUGUUCUGAUUCUUUUUGGUUUUAUUCUUAUGUUGACAGAUCGGCACUGCUGUUGGCGGAACGGCAAGCGCAUUUUAUGGUUUUAACCAUGGUAUGAUAUUAUGCUCAUGCACACACACUCUCUCUCUCUCUCUCUCUCUCUCUCUCUCUCUCGGAAUAAAUUGGUGGGCGAUCUUAUGAUUUGUUUAUUUGGCUAUUUCACUAUUUUGCUAACAUAAAUAUUUCAUUGUGUGCUCCUUUUGUUCUUUUGCCAGGAUAUAGUUGUUCUUUCAGCUAAACUAAUCAAAAUGUGCUAGUUAUUGAAGUAGGCAUAUCUUCUUUGUUUAGAACACGAUUAGUGAACUAGAGAUCUUUGUAGGACAGUGGUCCUAGGUUUGUCAUGGAGUUUGGUUAAUCCCACCGUAGAUGCCAUUGCUGGUGGGAAUGCAGCCUUAGAAAGCUUGAGUGAGUAGAAACAAGCUGAACAGAUGACUCGUGUGAGGAGCGUCCAUCUUGUUUUCCCUUCUCUAUGGUGCUCAUAUUGUUAAAUGUGGGGCAUUAGGAAGAGUUAUGCUCCAAAUGGUUUCGAGACCCCUUAUAUAUGCUGGUGCUUUAACUACAUGUAUAACAGGACCACUGUAUGUUCAGAUAUUUUAGUCCUCGUCCAUGAAAAUAAGGCAAUUCCUAGAGCAUGUAAAAUGAUACUCGCGCACAAGACCAUUAUAAGCUCACGGCUGUUAUGAACAAACCCAUUGUAUUAUUUGUGGUUUAUUGAAAUCUGUUCUUCAGAUUGAUGCAUUGCAUAGUUCAUCAAUUGCCUGUGGAUGUGCACAACCUAUACUUAGCUGGCUUUCAAACAGGAAGUCCUAUACCUCAAUGCAUAGUAUAAAAAUCUUAGUUUUGAGUAUUUAGUUAUUAUCUGUUUCGUAACUCUCAUAAUUUCUUUUUAAUAACUUCUCAGAAUGAAAUAAGAGAAGUUAUAAAUUAUCUGGGGGAGGGGGUUGUAAAAGAUUUCUUAGUAAUGAAUUAGAAGUUGUUACUUUCAGUAAUUGCGGAUUUUAAGGAGAUUAGUUUGACAUGUUGGUGACAUAUUCUUGGUCACAUCUCCUCUUUGUCACAAUAUCUCUAAGACUUGGUGAUGUUGGUCGCAUUACCCCAGGGUUCUUUACAACUGUCAAUAGAUCAUAUUCCUAUUAGCUAAAAUGGGUUAUCUAUGGCAGAUGAAAUUCAUCAAUGAGUCUCUCAUGUAUCUAACAAGGAGAACUUCCUUUCUUUUGGUCUCAAAAACUUUUUUUUGGUCUCUCUCUCGCAACAAUUCAACUGUAGAAGUGAAUAUUUGGAUGAAAGCUAUCAGUUACUAUGUUAUCCAAAUUGUUUAUUGUCUUGGAAGUUAGUAUAUUUUCCUUUUCAUCAAUGCCGUUGAGAUUAUUGAAUAUAAGUUUCAUCAAUUCAGUUGAGUUUAUGUGAAAUUCUGAUUAUAGGCUUUUGAAUUUUGACGUAAACGUGCCGUUCUAGAACAAAGCUUCAUCAACCUUUCUUUUUGAUGAAGAUAUGGGAGAACAGAGAUAUCCUGAGUUCACAAAGUGAAAAGAGCUGAAUUUUUAAAUAGAAGUAUUCCUGAAGUUGAUUGCUUGCAUCCUAGGGCUGAGUUGUCCUUGUACUUGAUAGAACAUUGGAUCUCUCUCUUUCCUUAAUUUUUCUCUCUAUCUCUCCGCAUUCAAUUUGUCUGUUGCUGGUGCUGGUAAAUGCUUUUUAAUUGGUAUUUUAUGUUAGUUUUUCUUUUUAGAUCACUGCAUUUGUCUUUCUGACGUCUUUGUGCAUUCCCUCUCUGUACUUCAUUCUUUGAUCUCUUUUUCGAGUUAUUUAGUCAUAAUCUGAUGAGUUAUAAUCUGAAUAUAUUUUUCAUUUUAUCAUACGCUUUCUAUUAAUGGUUGAUGAUGUAUUUCUAUGCUGAAUGCCAAGAGUAAUUAUUAUUUUGCAUUCAUAACUUGUGAAACACUAUUGCAGUUAUGCCUGUUGUCAGGAAGUGGGUGAAAGGGCCAAUGUGGGUUCAUUUCCUUGUUGGCGUACGUAUCUUACCUCGAUGUAACUUCCAUUGAUAUUUUCAUAAAAUUUUAGUUAAAUAACUCUGUUAUAGAUUUUCUCUGUUUUUCAUAAGCAACAUUUCUUCUAUUUGUUUGCAGCUUGCAAAGUCCUUUCGGCUAAAUUUUAAAGGAAAACAUGUUGGUUUUCACUUAUUUCUUUGUUUACUGCUUAGUGGGCCUUGCAUCUGGAAUGGCUUCUCUGCUUCUGAAAGCAAAAGAUUCCAGAAAUCAAAUGGUUGCCUAACAAAAGAUCUGGGGCUUUUGUUAUGGUAGCAAGAUAAGAUAAUAUUUUUGGCUAUAAAAUCAGAGGUUCCACUUUGAAGCUUCUGACUUGCUGUAACAAGAAGCUGUUAAGGAGAUUUUGAUGAAAUAGUUGUUAUGCUGCUUCCAUAGAAGCUCCAUCUGUCAAAACUAGUGCUCAUUUGUAAAACUUGUUACAUGACACCACAGAACAAUGUGUUUUCUGACUCUCAUUCUAUUAAGCACUAAUUAGAAUAUGUGAUCCUAUUGCAAUGAAGAGAGCAUGGUAAUGAGAUGUGUUUAAUUAACAAAACCAAUGAGGUACUCGAAGAUAUUUAGAUACCUUUUGAAACAUAAGAAAUGCGUAAGUUAUUUGAUCUACAACAGAUAUUGUGAGUAUUAUACUUGAAAAUUUUCAUUAAUAAUUCUCCUAUAAGCUUCUGUAGGGUAUAUUAUGAUGCAUUAUUGGUAUGCAAAGUGGCUGUUUAACCAAUGGAAAAUUUCUUAAAUUGGUCUCUUUCCUUCUUUUCUAUGCAGACACCACCUGUGGUUGUCUUCUCUUCAGCUUGUGCUGGAUUGGCAGGUGACACUCUUUUCUUUUGAGAUUUUAGUUUGGUUUCAUAUACGUUUUUUGGGCUUUUGCAUAUUUAUCCUUGAAAAAGUCAUUAAUCUAUAUAAAUGUAUUCCUGAAAAUCUAAAUUGUCAUAUAUACAUUUCAGAACCAUUUGUGCAAAAUACUCUUAUCUUAUGUCGAGAUAACUGAAGUUUUUCUCUAAGAUUAUAACGUCAAUCUUUACAUAUAUUGAUUCUUUAAUCCAAUGCCAUAGUGUUUCUUGGUUGGUUUUAGCUUUAGGUUUAUUCCUUUCUUCAGUAAUCUGUUACAGUAAGAGGCCUCAUAGUUACAAUAAGAUACGUCGCAGUAGUACAUCGUAUCGACUUGGUUUUUUCAAUCUCAAGUAGUAGAAUAGUUAGUUGCUAGACCUACAGGUUACUUGCUCUCCUUUUUUUUUUUUUUUUUUUUUUUCUUAUUGUUAAAAAUUAUUCACGUAUGUAUAGUACUUACUUUUUACACAUUUAUAUUACCACAGGAGGUGCUGUGCCGGCUCUUGCGCAGCUGGUCUCUUCCUCAUAUCACGCGGCAAUCUCAUCUUCACCCUCCUUGGCUCGCCCACCUCAACACGAUGAUAGCAGCAUGCACAAAACGAGAAGCUCCUCCCCACUAUAAAUCUCGCUGGCACCUUUUUUCUUUCUAAAAAUUGUUUUCUUUUAAUUUGUAGAGCUUUGUUCAAACGGUUCCUGACAAUAAAUUAAGGUUUACUUUUGUGCUCUCUAUCUAUUAGAGUGCUUCAAACAGUGAAACUUGUAGAAUGCGCUUCUUUUAUGAUGUAUAUUUAUUACAGAGCUGAUUUGGUUGCUUGUUUGUCUGAGGAUUCCUCUGUAAAUCUAGUGUUUUGCCGUUAAUAAAGCUGGGUUUUUUAAAUCAUUGUGCAUUAAUAUCUGAUCCUAUAUGAUGGGGUUGGCGGGAUUAGUGCUUUAAGCGGAUGUCAUACAUUUGGUAAAUAACAAUCUUACAGUCGCUAGUUGGAGCAACAACUUCUAGGCUUACAAGCAGAAAUUCUCAUUUGAAGCUUUGCUAGGAAGCUCCUGGUGGAACUCUUGAGUAAAGAGCCGAGUUCCAGUGUGUUAUGUCCAGCUGUGAUAUUUUAGCUUUAUCUCUUCUCUUAUCUAUUUCUAGCUAGCCUUUAAAUAUUUUUUUUCUGCAUCCAUUAAGUAUAAUUUCUUUUUCCUUUCUUACUGUUGUAGUUUUCCUAUAAUACCAGGGUUUAAAACUAAUCGUAGUCACUUUCUAUAGCUGUAAAUGAUAAGCCAUAACCACUGAAAUUCUAGGGCACUGAGGUAUCUUUGAUUACCUGGGAGUUAAAUCCUAGUUCUCUAUUACCACAUUAAUUAAGCAGUCUUAGGCAUGGAAAUAUCUCUGAUCCGACUGAUCUGACUUAUUUUGUGUUCGAAUUGAUUUCCUAUUUUGGAUCAUUUUGAUUUCCGAAUCAGUGAGUUUUUUUCUUUUUUUUUUUGUGUAAUCUUUAAGUGAGUGUUUGGAUUAGGUACAAGAGUAGGGAUAGAGCUCUUAUCUUUGAACCUGUACCCAAACACCUUUUACUUUGGGUGGGAAGGGUUGGAACAAGGGUUGGAGAGAGAGAGAGAGAGAGAGAGAGAGUCUUUUGUUUUAAAAUUUAGAAUUUAAAUUUUGUAAUUGUAAAUUGAAAAGUUUGAAGUUUAAAAUUUAAAUUUAUUAUUAUAAAUUUUUAAAUUUUAAAUUUGAUUUUUGUACAUUUUAAAUUUAAAUUUGGUAUUAAAUUUAAAAUUUAAAAUUUAAAAUUUAAAAUUUAUAAAUUUGAAUAUUUAAAUUUUAAAUUUUAAUUUUAAAAUUUAAAUUUUAGAAAUUAAAAUUUUUAAUUUAAAUGUCACGCCCCGGAUUACUCGUUUCUCCGGGCACGCCGAUAAAUCCGCCGUAUACAAAGAAAUUUUUUCUGUAUACGAAGCGAUAGCUGUACCUGUACCUAUAAUCAUACAAUACUACAACCACUAGUACAGAGCUGCUAAAUAGAAAAACAUAUAUAAACACAUCGGUCCAAUAUACAUACGUAGGAUUCUGAUACAAAACACUCGCCCCGCGAGGCAUAAACAUCAGUAUGUAUAAGAACAAAAAACUACAACUACCUAUAGCUAGUGUAUAUCUCUAGAUCAGCAGCAAUUGGGAAGGGAUCUAGCUCGCGACUCCAUUCCCACGAUCAGUCUCCGCGACAGCAGCAGCCGAAGAAGAGGGCUCUGCAAAAGAUCCACAACUCGGCAUGAGAACUACUGCAAAAAGUAGUCCUCAGUCGAUACCGCUACCGACCUCAACGGCUUACCCACUAAGUCUACAGAAUGUAUGCUCAAUGAUAGCAAAGGAACUGAAAAUAAUUUAUAACUAUAUGCCAUUAUACUAUUAUGAUCCAACACUAACAAUCUGUAGAGUAAUGCAAGCUCUGACCCAAUCUCACUAGGGACUGUGAAUACAUCCGUCCCACCUGUAGAAGCUAUACAACUACCUCCACGCUAAGCCAUCCGCGGAAAGCAAGUCCAAUAAGGACACAACGAUACCAAUGCAAACGCACUAAGCACGACUCCGGAGUGCAACUUGUGGGCGCUACCCAACCGAGUAUACAAGCGUAUCUCUGUCGAGCUCAAUCAGGCUCUCACAGGCUGAAGUCAAAGUAAACAGGGUCUAAGAACCAAACGCACGUGCCCUCGGUACAAUCUGAUGCAAAUACAGCAAUCUGGGUCCACCGUCAACCUCAACGGCACUCGACAUUCCGGAACAGCCUAAACACUGCUGUAAAAAUAUGCUCGGCAUCUCAGCACGAGCAUAAAUGCAUUCUACACUAUCUUGGGUAUCCACCGCCCACAAACUGCGGCGAUGCAAAAAAACUACGGCUCCUAGAGCUAAAUCUGAUAGUUUCAGCAUAUGACGGUGUAGAAUCACUAGUUUUCUCCCAAGUCAAUUCUAAGUCUAACAUGUGUAUUUAAACUACUAUUCUAGGCUCCAAUUCAGAAUUUAGAAUCAUGCAAAUCAUAGAAUUGAGCUAUUAAUAUGAAGAACAAAAAUAAAACACAUGCUAACAACAUAUAAGCUUAGGAGGUAAUUCCGCAAAUUCCGGUAAGCUUCAUUAACCCACCUCUAGCGCUAAUCCACGGCAGCGCAAGGUCGCUGGAAAACCCUGCCAAGCUCAGCUACAAACCAGCACACAAGAUCUCUAAGGAUCUACACACAAAAAUCACCAAAACUCUAUAAAUAAUUCAAAAUUCAGCACUUAAGUUUAAAUUAGCCUCAAUCUCAAUGUCAACUUCACCUUCCAAUCUUCAAAUCAGGUGAGAAAAGGUCUCAAAUCCAGUGAAUUAUGAUGGAAUAUCAUCCUCUGGUCCAUAAUCGAGCUUCCUCCAAAGAUUGUAUCAAGAAAACCCACAAACUCACAAUUUCAGUCCAAAAACACCAGCAGCACAACAAAAUGCCAAAUUGACCAAGGUAACCUCAAUCAAAUAAUGUCAAAAUGGGCUCCACGAAAUCUUCAGGAAGUCUUCUAACCAACAAACUAAAUUUCGUGGCAAACGGAGCUUCCUACUUCGCACACGAGCCAAAACGCCAAAGGUCGCCACUGAAAUUCUGCUGAAACUGCAGUCCUCAAGGUGGAAAGUGUGCAAAUUGGGAGAUUGGAGGGGUUGGAAAGCAAAAUAGGCCUUCACUAUGAAGAAGAGGUGAAAAAGGUUCACAAGGGUCAUAGACCACCUAUUUAUAGUGAGGUAGAGGGGUCAGAUAAGCCCUAAGAACAAAAAACACAAACCUGUUGUUCCUGCAGAAAUGGGCACUUUCGAGCGCCUGAAACCAUGUUCUGGGCAUCCGAAACCUCCAAGCUACACAAAGCUUCCUAUUCGGUUCUUCCGCGCGUGGUGUGUUUUACCCUUAUCCUUGUCUUGCGGAACUCACCUACCACAUACACGUGUCAGCACGUGAUUUUCACAAGGUGAACUUUCGGACCCACUUUUGGGCGCCCGAAACCAGGAUCCGAAUUGGCUCCUAGUUAUUCUCAAUUCAACACUCGAGUUUUGGGCGACCCAGACCCUGUUCUGGGAGCCCGAAACUGGCAAAACUCCAGUUUUGCUCCUUUGAGUGCGCCAAGUCCAUUUCUGCAUUCAUUUCGUGCUGAAACGACUUCGACUCAGUCUGACACUCUCUAGAUGUGUCGACCAGUCACUAAUACUGUAGCUAAUCCUAUCCAAACUUCCGUAACACUACAUUAAAAUUAUAAGUUUAAAAUUUAAAAAAUUUAAAUUCAAUUAUAGGGGUAAUAUUAUUAUUUUCUAUUUAUAACCAUCAACUAUUUCUUUUAUUCCCAAUAACCAUCCAAACAUUCAUCCAAAUAAAAAAAUACCUUUGUUCUUACAAAAAUUCAUACUUGUACCUAUCCCCGGUAUAACUAGUUCCUACUAAUUUCCGAUCCAAAUGGAGCCUAGGGGUUUCAGAAUCCUUUGUUCAUCGCUAUGUUCGUAGAAGUGUGUACUCGCUUUUUUUCGUUUCAUGUCACCGCAAGUUCAAAUAAUUUUUGAUUUAGGCUGUAUUUAGGUAAGGUAUUAGCUUUUUGUUAUCUUGGAUCUUAUUAAUAAUAUUUGUUCUCAAUUUGUGAUUUGAAUUGUCUCGGAAGCCAUUAGAUUAGAUUUAGAAGUGAAUGCAAUAUAAUUAGAGAUGCGUGUAAUGAAAAAUGCAAUAGUUAUUUAGCAGAGGGAGUGCUCUUUUUUUUUUUUAAAAAAAAAUUAAGAUAUUAUCUAAUAUCGGCGAAAUUGUCUUUAUUAAUUUUUAAUUUUUUUUUCAAAUAUUCUCUAAAUUUCAGAGCUUUCUAAUUGGAGAUUUAGGAUUUAGAGUGGUAUUUUGAAAAUAGAAGGGUAAAUUUAAAAAUUUUGAAUGGUAAUGAGAGGUAUAUAAGCAAACCUCUUGUUGUUUAUGUUCAAUUUGGGCUCCUUGUCCCUUGUCUCAAAUUUUGAUAACAUUUGACUGCAAGACCGACCGUCCCUAGCGCAAGUGGUAAAGAACUUAGUGGUUGGUAUUCGAGAUCCAAAGAUUGAAUUCUAAUUGAUUCAUAUUUUCAGCUAAGUUUAUUUUUUAAAAAAAUAAAACGAAAUAGGUAGUAUGCUAUCUUUCUUUGAAAAACAAAAAAAAAAAAAAAAAAAAUUGAUUGCAACUACAACAUACCAAAUAGUCUAUUGCCAUUUUUCUUUAACUUUACGUGUAGUUGCAUCUACGUAGUUUGAUUCAAAUCGUAAUUGUAACGUGUGGGGUUCUCAAGUAACGUGUGGGGUUCUCAAUUUAGGGUUCUCUCACUUACUCAAGAAAAUCCAUUCAAAGGUCCAUUCUCCCCUUUCUAUUAUUAGGUUCCCACACUUGGGCUAUGGACUUUGAAUGUUUGGGUUGGGUCUAAGUUUGGUUUUAGUAAAAAUCAAAACUCUUAUUUUCCUACUGAGUAAUGAUACUGAUACGCUUUAAGGGCCCAUUUGGUUCAAGUUAUAUAAUAUUACAGAGUAUUUCGAAAUAUCCAGGUAUCUUGGAUUUCUAAAAGAGAUUACUACUUAUGUUGCAUUAGCAUGUUUGGUUUAAUAAAGUAAUGUAAUGCUGUAUUGCAGUGGUUAUAGCAUUAAUAUGUUUGUUUCUGUCUAUAAAAUUCAAUAAUGUAGACAAUAAAGUAUAGUUUAUUCCAAAAUUGUCCUUAACCAUAUUUUGUAAACUUUUUUUCUACUGUUCACAAAUAAUAUUUUUUUACUAAAUUUUAUUUUAAAUAAUUUAAUUUUUUAAAAUUUAAAAUUUAAAAUUUAAAAUUGAACAAAAAUAUAAAUUAAUAUUUUAAUUUAAAAUAGAAAUAUGAAAUUUAUAAAUUUAAAACCCAAAAUAUAAAUAUAAAUAUAAAUAUAAAAUUAAAAAUUAAAAAUCUAAAUUUAAACUUUAGAAAUUAAAAUACAAAUUUAAAAUUUAAAAUUUAAAAUUUGAAAUUUAAAAUUUAAAAUUUGAAAUUUGAAAUUUGAAAUUUAAAAUUUAAAAUUUAAAUUUAAAAUAUAGAAUUUGAAAUUUAAAAUCUAAAAUUUAAAUUCAAAUGUCACGCCCCGGAUUACACAUUCUCCGGGCACGCCGACAAAUCCGCCGUAUACAAAGGAAUUUUCCCUAUAUACGAAGCGAUAGCUGUAUCUGUAACAUAUACAAUACUACAACCAGUAGUAUAGAGCUGCUAGGAAAUAAAACAUAACCAGAUCUAAAACCAAUUUCCAUAUACAUACAUACAUCCAGGUGUACAAAUACUCAGCUCUGGCGAGAUACAACAAGUAUGUAUAAGAAACUCAAAAACUAACACUACCUGCGACUGGAAACUCUCGAACAGCAGCAAUUGGGAAGGGCUCUAACUCGCAACGCCCUUACCACGAUCUAUCUCGGAGGAUGCAGCAGCCGGAACCGAAGGCUCUGCAAAAGAAGGGUAACAACUGGGCGUUAGAAAUACUAUAAAAAUAAGUAGUCCUCAGUGGGUGCCGCCCUCACAUCAUUGGUCCACCCACUAAGUCUACAGGAGGAAGUAAGGAUAAUAGAAAGAGUUGAAAGAAAUCUGCAGCUAAAAACCACUACACUAUCCUACUCUACAUUAACCACUGUAGAAAAUGUCAAUCCUGACCCAAUCUAAGUGGGACUGUAAGCCUACCUGUCCCUGGGACUGUGAAUACACCCGUUCCGCCCGGUUGUGACUAUAUAGCUACCUCCACACUAAGCAGUCCGUGGAGAGCAAGUCCAACCUGCACGAACGACAUCAACGCGAAAGCACAGCGCCCGUCUCUGGAGUGGCACUCGUGGGAGAAACCGAACUGAGUAUGUAGCGUAUCUCUGUUGAGCUCAAUCUGGCUCUCACAAGCCUAUGUCAAGUAACCCAAUCUAACUGGUCUAACAACGAACAGGUCACGUGCGCUCAGCACAAUCCGAUGCCAAAACGGCGACAUGGGUCCACCGUCAACCCCGACGGCACCCAACAGUCUGGAACAGUUUAAACACUACUGUAAAAAUACACUCGGCAUCCCAGCACGAGCAUAACUGAAAUCUAAACUAUUUGGGGUAUCCACAACGCCGAUAUUGCGGCGAUACAAAAAUAACAACGGCUUCUAGAGCUAAAUCAGGUAGUUUAAGCAUAUGACGAAUCAUAAUCGCAGGUUUUCUCCUAAGUCAUAUCCAAGUCCAACAUGUGUAAAUAUCUAGUCAUAAUAUAAGCUCCAAUUCAUGCUUUGAAGAUAAAUCUACCAAAUCCGCGAAUCGAGCCAAUUCAAUGUUCUAAACAACACGAUGCACACAUGUUGACUAUAUAGCUACUUAGAGAAUAAACCGACGAUUAACCCACCUCAAACGCUAAUCCUAAUCUGACGCGACGUCGAGAACGGCGGAAUCGCACCCUCGCCCGGCGUCCCCGCGACGCUACGACGACGAACGUACGCUCGAACGACUCCGCGGCGCGACGUCGACGACGAUCCACACCACCCGAGCUCCCCCGCAAUCGGACCAAGCUAGAGAAAGAGAAGGAAGAAGUGGAUCAGUAAAAUCUCUCUCCCGAGCUCAGCCCAUGCAUAAAUAUCAAAGGGGGAGAGAGGUGACACAACUCCGGAGCGCAUCGUUCGAGGGGGAGCUACCGCCACCGAGCAAGGACAUAAAGCGAGUAUGAUCCAAUCCUUAACUCUAAGGAUGUCAAGUUCAAUCCGUUCCUUAACUGUAAGGAAAUUAUGCAUAAAUGACCCUUAGCUCUAAGGUUGUAUGUCAUUGUGUCUCAAUCUCAUGUUCUUUGCAUUCUUUGUUUUCGAUCAUGUCAUUAUACUAACUCUAGUAUUCUUUAUGCCACACUUGAGGCUAACUCUAGCAUUUAUUGUUCUUGGUGCCACACUUAUUCUCUUUGAUGCCACAACUAACGCUAGUGUUCCAAUGCUCUAGCAUUCAUAUCCUCUUUAAUGCCACACACAAACUAACUCUAGUGUCAUCUUUGCAUUUACUAAUGCCACUCGAUCUACAUGUCAUCGUGUCACAUUUAUUCUCUUACCUCAACUAGGUUUUCAUGUCACAUCUCAUGCAUACAUAGGACUCUUAGGUUCUCAACCAUCUGAUAAUGCAUUUGUACUUACAACAUGCAAACAUUCACAUAAUUAUGAUUUCAAUCACCCUACAAUGCAUGCAACAAUAUAUAUAUAUAUAUAUAUGUAUGCUCAAUGAGUGACACAUUAGACAUAAAAAGAAUUUCAAGGAGUUUGAAAAGCAUCACCCACCUCGUAGGCUUGCUAGGGUGUUACGGUUAAUUUCUCGAAAUUUUCGGACUCCUAUUCCGCGAGAUGCGGCAAUCUGUACCAAAAUCGACCUUUUUGUCAAUAUCUCCGCACACACAUGUCGGAUCACCGAACCGAGCGCACCAAUGCGUCGGAAAUACCCCCAAUUAGGUUUCUAUACGAUCAAUUUUGAACUAAACCUCUUCAAUGCAAAAGCUCCAAAUUUGGAUGCCCUAGCUUUCAUAAACCAUCAAACCCUUGGUUUGAUCUCUAUCGUAAGCAAAAGAAAGCUUAAUAACACCUAGGGAUUUCAUCAAAACCAUUUCUAGGUCCAUUCAAACCAUCAAAACCAUUUCUAGGUCCAUUCAAACCCACCUUAGGGUUCUACCAUGAGAGGGGGAAGAAGCUUACCUCUAAACUUUCCUUUCCUCAAGCUAAUGGUAAAGGAGAGGGAGUUCCUUCACUCCUUCGCCUUCUUCUCCACCUUCUUCUCCUUCUUCUAGAGAGAGAGAGAGAGAUAUAUGAGAGAGUGUGUGGGAGAGAAAUGAGAGAAAGAGCUCUCUUUCCCCUCUACAUAACCCAACUUGAUGCAUAAUUGCAUUUGGGCCCCUAAACUUUGCAUCAUAUGCACUUCUCAUCCUGGGCAGUUUUCGGGCACAGAGACCGGUCUCUCCAGCAGGGAUCGGUUUCCGAGAGCACUCCUCGCAGUUUACGUAGCCGGGGUCCGAUUUCACAUUGAGGGACCGGUCUCACGGGGACCGGUCUCUCCCCGCAGGGACCGGUCCCCAAGAGCACAGCUCUCAGGACUUAGUCGAUUUUUCCACUUCUGAGAUUUCAUGCGUACGGGGACCGGUCUCUCUCCGGAGGGACCGGUCCUCGAGAGCUAGUUUUUCAAUACUUAGCCAUUUUCACAACCUUCUCACCUACGGGGACUAGUCUGUCCCACCAGGCACCGGUCCCCGAGAGCUAGGCUGCGCGCAGAGCUUUCUGUUCAACCCAAUACGCGUACGGGGACCGGUCUCUCCCAGCAACGACCGGUCCCCGAGAGCUCAAAAGCUCCAGUUUGCAUAUUUUUUAUUCACUAGCUCUCGAAGAUCCCCAACAAUACAUUUUUGCCCUUUUUGACGCCUUCGGCCUUUUCGAAGCUACCAACCUUGCACUUUGGUCAAUUUGACUAAAGUUUAAUAUUUGUUUACCGAGGUUUCGGUAUAUUAUAUUCUCCACCCCUUAAAAUAAUUUCGUCCACGAAAUUAACCAUACCUCAACUCGUCGACUCAAAUAAGUGUGGAUACUUCUUCCGCAUAGUCUCCUCAAGCUCCCAAGUAGCUUUACGCACCGCAUGAUUGCUCCACUGGACUUUCACAUAAGGAAUUUUGCGACUCCGCAAUUUUCUUUCUUCUCUAUCGAGGAUGCACACCGGGUACUCCUCAUACGUCAUAUCCUCACAUAACUCCACGGGCUCAUACUCUAAUACAUGUGUCGAGUUGCGAAUGUACUUUCGGAGACUUGACACAUGGAACACAUUGUGAACUCCCGCGAGUCUCGGUGGUAGUGCGAGCUUGUAUGCCACCGCACCCACACGCUCUAGUAUCUCGAAUGGUCCGACAUAACGGGGGCUCAGCUUCCCGCGGACCCCAAAUCAUCUCACUCCUCGUAUAGGCGAGACUUUUAAAAACACGCGGUUUCCUACCGCGAACUCUAAGUCUUUUCUACGCUUGUCGGCAUAACUUUUCUGCCUUAAUUGCGCCGUCGCUAACUGUUGACGGGCAAGGCGAACUUUUUCCUACGCUUCCCGCACUACAUCCGGGCCAAGAGCAACUCUCUCGCCCACGUCGCUCCAAUGAAUAGGAGAGCGACACUUUCUUCCAUACAAUGCUUUAAAUGGCGCCAUCACGACACUUUCUUGAUAACAGUUAUUAUACGCGAACUCCACCAUUGGCAAGAAAUCAUGCCAACCGCCCUUGUAAUCAAGUACACACGCUCGAAGCAUAUCCUCAAGGAUUUGUAUUGUUCGCUCCGACUGACCGUCACUUUGAGGAUGAAAUGCCAUACUGAAAUCAAGCCGUGUGCCCAAUGCGUCCUACAAGCUCUUCCAAAAAUGAGAUGUGAACCUAGGGUUUCGAUCCCAUACAAUAGACACCGGAACCCCAUAAAGUCUCACAACCUCGUCGAGAUAGACUUGAGCUAGCUUAUCUCCCGACCAUGUAGUGUGAAUCGGCAAGAAAUGAGCUGACUUCGUCAGUUGAUCCACUAUCACCCAUAUCGCGUCGUGUCCAUCUUGAGAUCGAGGCAAACCGGUAACGAAGUCCAUCGCUAUAUCUUUCCAUUUUCAAACGUGUAUUUAUAGACUUUGAAGCUUUCCCGCCGAAAACCGACGCUCCGCUUUCACUUGUUGGCACGUGAGACACUGCGCCACGAACUCCCCAAUAUCUCUUUUCAUGCCCGGCCACCAAUAAUGCACUUUUAAGUCCUUGUAUAUUUUAGUGCCGCCCGGGUGUAUGCUAUAGAGAGACUGAUGCGCCUCUUGCAUGAUCUCCCUUCGAACAUCUUCAUUCCUAGGCAUGCACCAUCGAUUCUGAAAUCGAAGUGCGCUAUCGGCUCCAAUGCCAAAAUCCUCAACACUACCGUUUUCAACUUCAGUUUGCACCUUUUGGAGAUAAAGAUCCGAAGCUUGUAGUUCCUUGAUCUUCUCUAACAAGGUCGGUUGUACAACUAACGCGGCAAGUGUUGCCGGCACUCCCGGCGCUACUAUCUCAAGACCCAACCGUUGCAUCUCCUUUUGAAAUAACAGUUGUGACGUGAUUGCCAUCGCCAAGUUUUCCACUGAUUUUCUACUUAGCGCAUCGGCUACAACAUUGGCUUUUCUCCGGUGGUAUAGUAUAGUAACGUCAUAGUCCUUCAACAACUCUAACCACCGCCGCUGCCGCAUAUUCAAUUCCUUCUGGGUGAACAAGUAUUUGAGACUCUUGUGAUCGGUGUAGAUCUCACAAUGUUCACCAUACAAGUAAUGCCUCCAUAGUUUUAGCGCGAAAAUCACCGCAGCUAGCUCAAGGUCAUGUAUCGGGUAGUUCUUCUCGUAAAUCUUCAAUUGUUGAGAAGCAUAAGCUAUCACUCGACCAUUUUGCAUCAAAACUCACCCGAGAUCAACAUACGAGACAUCGCUGUACACUACAAAAGUCUCGCCCGAAGUUGGCAAGGCCAGCACUGGGGUCGACGUCAACCUGUUCUUCAAUUCUUCGAAGCUCCGAUCGCAAUUGUUGCUCCAGAUAUACUUUACUCCCUUGUGGGUAAGGCGCGUUAGUGAAGUAGUUAUUUUGGCAAACCCCUCCACAAACUGCCGGUAGUAGCCCGCGAGUCCAAGAAAACUGCGGACCUCCACUACACUUAUCGGGCGAGGCCAAUCCUUUAUUGCCUCGACUUUCUUCGGAUCUACCGAAACUCCGUCGCCCGAUAUCACGUGACCCAAGAAUGUGACCUCUGAGAGGCAAAAGUCACAUUUCUUCAACUUAGCAUAGAGCUUCUCUUGUCGGAGUAUUUGCAGCACAGCUCUCAAGUGCUCCUCGUGCUCCUCCUCGCUUUUCGAGUAGACCAAUACGUCAUCAAUGAACACUACGACGCACCGGUCCAACAACGGCCUGAAGACUCGAUUCAUCAAGUUCAUAAAUACUGCCGGGCCAUCAGGAAGCCCAAACGACAUUACCGUGAAUUCAUAAUGGUCAUACCGCGUACGGUACGCCGUUUUGUGCACAUCCUUCGGCCUAAUCUUCAAUUAAUGAUAUGUAACAUACCAGAUUUUGGUAUAAAAAUAAAAAUAAAUAAAAAUAGUGUGAGAUACUAUUUUUAUUGAAUUUAGAGAAGUAAAACAUAAGUUAGAAGUGACUUAUGCUGAAAUCGGAAUGAAAACAGAAGAUUUAGAAUUUUCUGUUGGAAACGGAACAGAUAUGCAGAAAAUGCACAGUCUCAGAAAAUUAUAAAAACCGGAGGAUAAGCCAGAAUUAUUUUUAUGAGGCUAGAUUUAAAGUUUCAUAUUAUUCUGGCACCCGGAAGGUAGAAAAUAAAAUCCGACAGUUAUCUAAUAAAGAUUUCAGUUCGAUAAAGCUUUCGCUGACCAAACGUGAUCGAAACUAAAAAACUUAAGAUAUAUUCUUUCUUAGUAAGGAAAACCGAACCUGACUGUCAAAUUUGAGCACAAACGGACAUUCAGAAGGGCUCCGACGUGUCCAAACUGCUAAACUGAGCUGGAGAUGUAAUUUCUAAUAGUUGCAAGGGGUUCUUGUGAAUUUGGCCACUUGUCUCCUUCUUCUCCUCAACCGUAUGCGGCACACACACACACCACACACGCAUAGAGAGGGAGAAAGAGAAACCUCCCUUUCUCUCUCUAAAUCUCUUCCAAAAUUGGUGGAUUUGGUGGAGAAGAUGCUUGCGAACGCGUUGGAGGCGGCGGUUCGAGCUUUCGUGCGGCCGUUGGAGCGGCGUGCUAUCGUCGCGGCGUUCAUAUUGUGGUAAGCUUUUGGGAUUUGACUUAAUCCUUAGCUUUAAGUGUUCUAAUAGCCUCUAAUGAGCAUUGUUAGCAUGUUGCUCUACUUAAUUUGGAUUAUUUGGAGGUUAAUUGCAUAUUAGGGCUCCGAAUGUCGUUUUGUAAAAUAGUAGGGUUUGAUCUCAUUUGACCCUCCGUAAAUCUAAUUGCUAGGUAAACGAACGUGUUGGCGAAGUCGGUUCGACGAUUCGUCGAGCCUACGCGAAGUUAUUAAAGAAACGGACGUUUAGGCUUCAUUUCUUCCUGGAAGGCCGAGGCGAUAUCGUAAAAUCAUGAAAACGGAUUUCGAGUACCGUGGCACAUAACUGAAGACCUAUAAUUUUCGGAGCCGCGAUUCGACGCACGGUUGGUGAGUAUUAGCAAAAUCGGGCCGAACCGGACACGGGUACCGUGGGAGGCCGAUUGCAAGUGUCGACAAGCAAUCAGAAAGCGAUUUGAGGUGGGUUGUGUUUACCAAAGCGACUAGGUCGCCUGUAUGUCUAAGAUGAGUGUUUAUCCUUGAUGCAUAUUAUGGUAGCUAGUGGUAGAAUGUAUAAAUACAUGAAAUGAAUGCUAUGUUAGGCUACCAAAUAAUGCAUAUGGUCAUAAUGUGAGAAUGCUAAGUAAUGCAUAAUGACAUAGCGUAAAUAAUGCUAAGUGGAAAGCAUAAGUAAAUGACAUAUGUUAGUCAUGUUGCAUGUAUAGAAAUGCUAAUGUAAUAAUACUAAGUGGAUACAUGUAGUAAAUGCUAAAGGNUAAGUGGAAAGCAUAAGUAAAUGACAUAUGUUAGUCAUGUUGCAUGUAUAGAAAUGCUAAUGUAAUAAUACUAAGUGGAUACAUGUAGUAAAUGCUAAAGGGAAUGCAUGUUAAUGAUGUAAUAUAGAAAUGCUAGAAUGCAUGAUGAUGUAAUAUAAAUGAUACUAGUUAAAAGCAUGAGGUAAAUGACAUUUGCAUGUUAACGUAAAGUAGAGAACAUGCUAGUUGUAAUGCAUAAUGAUAAGUUGUAAAGAAUGUAUGACAAGUAUGUUAUGUAAAUGCUAGAUAAUUGCAUGAUGCAUGAUUAGCAUUGUAAGAGGAUGCACGAAUUGGAUCGAUAACUCUAGAGUAGAGACAUCGACAUUGGACAUCUAUAUAUUAGAUCAAGUGGCAUUUAACCUAGUGUGAGUGAACAUAGGUUGAACAUGAAUGAUAUGAACCUAGUGUUAGUAAACCUAGGUCGGACAUGAAGGAUCACAUUGAACCUAGUGUUAAUAAACAUAGGUUGGGCAAGGGUGGAAAUUAACCUAGUGUUAAAGAACAUGGGUUGAGGUGAUAAGUGGCAUGGAACCUAGUGUUAAAGAACAUAGGUUAAGAUUGAACCUAGAGUUAAAGUAACCUAGGUUGUGAGAUAAAGAUAGUGAACCUAAGGCCAAGUGGACCUAGGAUGGAAAGGACAUUGGACCUAGAUAAGUCAUUAUUAUAGGGUUAAAGCCAACCCUUGAGUUAUGUGAAAUGGAUUUCAGAAUCCUAGAGCUUAUGGAACACCCAAGGUGGUGUUGGGCGUGUGCGACGAUUUUUCCGUCCGGGGCUAUACCAACGACGUGGCGUGUGCGACGAUUUCGCCGCUGGAUGGGUGAGCUGAAUUUUGGUUUAUACCGGUUGAGCCGGGUUGUGGAUUAUACCGCUGGUUGACUCGAAUCACUGACGUGGCGUGUGCGACGAUUUCGCUGCAGGGUGGCUAGGUCAUAUAGCGCGGUGAGUUGUGGAAAGCUGAGGUGCAUGUGUGAGUUCCUUCACCUCGAGCUAGACAGAGCGCGGAUUAUCCGCCAUUGAUUAACUCAAGACCAAGUCGAGUGGCAUAGCGUGACCAAGGUAAGAACAACCUUAGAAAAGAAUGGCUAUGAGUAAAGAAUAGUCAAGGAUAAAGAAGGACUAAGAUUAAAAAGUAGAAUUAAAGUAAUCUACUUGGUUGGUUGCAUAGUUUCAUUUUGCAUAUUGAGAGGCAUGACAUGUAGUUCAAUAUUGAGUAAACGUAUAAAAAUCUGUUAUAUGUUAUUGGACUAACCUGUUGCAGUGCCUCAUUAGACCUAUUGGUUGAACUUUUCCCUUAGGUGGCCGUACCCACUGGGAACCAUGGAGUUGGUUCUCACCCCACGUUGUCACCCUACGUUGUUUUGGGGUGUUUCAGGUUCACACGUAAGCGCGCGGCGGCGCGAGGCGAGGGCGUAGCUCUGUAGUUAGCGCUCCACCAUCGAGACCAGAGAUAGCGGUACACUGAGUCGACCUUACUUAGGGAUGCAAGGAAAUGAAAAGAAUCAAGUUGUAAUAAUAUUGUUAAAGCUAGAUUGUAUUUUGAAGCUAAACAGAAUGUAAAAUAUAUGUGAGUUGAAUGAUUGUAAUAACUUAGUUGUAUUUAUGUUUGUGAUACUUUCUUAUGCAAUCUUUGAUUGAAUACUACUCCUGGUUGGAACCUCGCGUAUUGCUUUGUAUUGAUUGCGACGCCUUAAAUGUACAAGGGAGACUCUGUCCGCGAUACAGGAAAAACGUGUGCCCAAACCGACCAAAUAGGCGAGCUCGGGGCGUGACAGAUAAGAUGGUAUCAGAGCAUAAAAAGAACACAAAAACAAUAAUAGAAAUGAUUUAGUUGGACCUAGAAGACCCUAGGAUAUUAAAUCAUAGGAGAUAAAUAAUAUUUAUAUAUAAAAUAUUACGUAAUAAUAUAUUUAUAUAAAAAUGUAAUAUCAUAUAUAAUAGUUGGACCUAGAAGACCCUAGGAUAUUAAAUCAUAGGAGAUAAAUAAUAUUUAUAUAUAAAAUAUUACGUAAUAGUAUAUUUAUAUAAAAAAGUAAUUAUAUAUAUAUAUAUAUAUAUAUAUAUAUAUAUAUAUAUAUAGAGUGAGGCUACUAUGCUAUCGGAAGCACGGAGCCUUCCGUGCUUCUAGCUCGUUUUCGAUGUUGCGACUUUCGAAUCGUCGAUCGGCUCCGUUAAACUUNGGCGUGACAGAUAAGAUGGUAUCAGAGCAUAAAAAGAACACAAAAACAAUAAUAGAAAUGAUUUAGUUGGACCUAGAAGACCCUAGGAUAUUAAAUCAUAGGAGAUAAAUAAUAUUUAUAUAUAAAAUAUUACGUAAUAAUAUAUUUAUAUAAAAAAGUAAUUAUAUAUAUAUAUAUAUAUAUAAUGGAAGAGGAAGAGAGAGUCCACCGUGGACUCUCUCUCUCACGCGGGUCCACGAGAUGAAGAUGAUCUCGUGGACCGCAUGCGCGCAAGGCCCUAUGAGCCGCGCGUUUUUGAGACCAGUUUUCGUUUUCCGCGAAAACCCGGCGGAAAACGAAAAUGAGGUUUUUUUUCGAGAAUUUGUAAAACAACUUUUCCGAAAAAAAAAAUUUACGUGCAACCAAACAUCGGGAAAAAAAUUUUCGAUCGAAAAAAAAUUUUCGGACCGGUUUUACAGGGAACCAAACAGCCCCUAAAGUUUAAAAGUUGAAUAAUUUAUCUUUUCUUUAUUUCCAUAUAUAAUCUUAACAACCACAUAAAAAUUUCAACAAAUCACAUAUAAUCCUUAUAACUUAAAAUAUUUUAACAAUCUAUCUAUAUAAUUUUAACCAUAAAUAAAAUUUAAUGAUCUACAUACAAUCUUAACAACCUCAAAAAAAAUCCUCCGAAUAUAUAAAAAAAAUAAUAAUAACAAUAUAAAAACGGCGAAUUAUUCACCGCUUUCUAAAGACGGCAUGUUUCUCAAGUUAAUUAGUUGCCCAAAUGAAAUUUUGAAAGGAUUAUUUGGCAAAUUAGAAAUCGUAACGGAGUUACUGUGUAAAAAAGUCCAUUUCACUACACUGAAUCUGCCAUUUCUUCCCAUGCACCCUUCAUAAAUAACUCUACAUUUGUUUUCUCACUAGCCAGUGAAUCUGCCAUAUAUCUUUUUUUGAUUAAACAGGGGUAUACCCAAUCUGCCAUAUAUCUUUUCUUGUACUUCUAUUCAAUUUCCACCACCCAAACAAGCCACAACUCUUUGAGGAUUUAAAAGUAGCUUAUUAAAAGUGGUGGAAAUUUAAACUAGAUAGGGAUAGAUGGUGCAAGAAAAAAGGUUUGAUAUUACUGAGUUAGCUUCAUUCCUAGCACAACACAUGCAGUUUACGACUGAUUUAAAUUUUAUUUCUGUUUGAAUCUCAAUCCUAGUUGACUCAGGCAUAUAUACUUGGAUAGGCAUUUGGGGCUACAUUAUAAAUUGAUAGUGCGAUUGUCGAAGAGUUCAUCUCUGUUACUAUACCUUGCAACCAACCAAUUACAGUUCAACAAUUGCCUUCUCUUGCAUAUUAUAUUACGUAUCAAAAUAUAAAAAAAAAAAAAGAAAAAAAAAUUCAGAUAAAGGCUCUCAAGAUUGUAGAACAACACUGUGCGAGAAACCUUAGUGGAUGUGUAGUCAUGCACACUGUUACCGAUGAGUUAGGAUAAAGCCGCAUCCAUUGAUUAGAACCUGUGGACAUUUUGGUGCAUGCAUAGGUGGAAGCACUUAUCAAGCAAAUAUUUCUACGUGGGACCUGCAUGAAUAUUCUUUUGCACUGCAUGUUUGUGUAUAGUGGAAGGGUAAGUAUACCCUAUACUUCUAAGACAUAUAACAAUCACUAUAUAUGAAGGCUUGACAACAUCGUAUAAUUAAUAUAUGGGAUCAAUUCUUUUUAAUUGAUGACUCUAAGCUUGAGAACAGGACAUCUAUGAUCCCCCCUCCCCACCAAAAAAGGAAGAAACAAAGAAAGAAGGAACUGCCGAAGAAGUAUGGGAGGCCUAGAUAUUGUUUUACACCAAGUACGAUAUAUAUAUUUUUUGUCUAAUCUUUCAAUAUAGAAUUCUUUUUGUCAAGUAAGAUUUUGUUGCAAAUGUUGAUAGGAGAACCUGUUGCUUCAAAAUACAACAUUUUGGGGAAACAAAAGGGGAAAAAAAAAAAAUUUCAAAUUAAAGCAGUUCAUUUCACACGCUUUAUACAGUACUAGCUUGAUUUUUUUUCUAUAUUGAUUGUUGCACAUAGCAAAAAGAUAAAUUCAACCUAUACAGGACGGUCAAUUUGGUGCCUAAGGUACAAGCUUAAUACCAUAAUGAAUGCUUGGUAAUACCAGUUGGUAAAUCUAUGCGAUUAUAUUUAAGACUUAAGAUUAGCUAGGCCCAGAUUAUGUUGAAUAAACAUCUUACCUUGCUUUUUGGCUAAUUUGUUAGAUUAUACUUCUGUUGGUUUUUUAUUUCUUGUUUUCCAUUUUCUCUUAUUUUAUGGCAUGAACUGUUUCAUUUGGACCACCACCAUUUUCUUAUUAGGGUGUGAAAAAAAAAGGUGCAGUAACAGGACCACAAUAUUCAUCUCUGACCUGUCAAAGUAAAGUCUAACUUGUACUGUUCACUUGAUAAAAUAUUAAGAUACCAUGGAUAUAGUUAGGUUUCCCUUCACCUAAUCCUAUAGUUCACUGAAUCUGUGGCAUCAACGUAGGGUUUUAUAUUCGUAGAGUGAUCUUGGCUUGCUAAUCGAUGCAUUUGGAACAUAGUGUUGAGUAAUUAAGCUUAAAUAAUGUGAUUAUAUCUCUAUUAGCUAUUAGGUACAUCAAUAAGCCUUGAACCCCCCACUUUCUCUUGGAGUGUUGUAUAGCCUGAACAAGUAAGUACAAGGACCACCAUGUUCAUCUCUGAAUGGUUUAUAAAAAGGUUUUGUAUCUUACUACGUUUACAUUAUCCGCAUCUUUGAGAUUACAAGUAAUCAACAGGAUAGUUAUCGGUAGAUAUAGUUUAAUUUUAUUACAUCUCUUAAUUUGCUAUAUCUGUUUGUUCUUUCUGGUUUAAUUAUAUAUGUCAAGCAGGUAAACUUGAUACCCUUCUUUCCUAAUGCCACCAAUUAAUUUGUCCUUUGUUAGUUCUGAGAGUAACACACAUGUUAAACAUAUAGUGCCCGGCCAACUAAAAUUUUGUUGAUAGAAAAUUAGUCCUUGUUAACGGAACUCUUAAUGAUAAGAUUUUAUUAUAUUUUUUAGUGUUAUCCAAAAUAUCAAUUUAGUAGGAAAGGGGCCCCAAGAAUAUAUAUUAACACUCUUACGCCCGUGCAUAAUGGAUGUACUAACAUUCCCACUCACAUGCAUAAUAAAUAUGAAUGACAGAUAGGAUUGAUAGGCGAGGUUGGAAAUCGGGACUUAACCCAUUAUAUAGUGAGGGAACUUAAACUGUUAAAUGUCAAAGAUGAGGAUUAAAUCCACAACGUCACAGAAUGAAGGGGUUUUAAAAUAGGCUCUGAAACAUGUUAUCUAAAAGAUCGAUUUAGUAGAAAACGGGUUCAAGAAUACAAAUCAAUAGUUAGGACAUAUUAGACGAAGUACAACAAAGUACUUAAGAAUAUAUAAUUCAGUGCAUUAUCCUUUGAGGCCCGUUUGGCACUUGGGAUUGGAGUGGAUAUAUAGGAUUGAAGAAGAUGACAAAGCGAAGUUGGGGGCGAGAGAGGGUUUAGUGGUUUGUAUAUGUCAGAGAUCAUAACAGUAGGGGUCAGCCCUGUAGGAUAAUAAUAAGGUUUUUUGAAUAAUAUCUAGUUUAAUCCUAGCCUUUGCGGUCGAAAUGGGUAGUCCCAUCUGGCUGACUGGAUUCGAUAAUCUCAACCUCUUGUGAAAUCUAAUGUCUUUAAAAGGGGGAAAUGGAUAAGAAGUGAUUAGAUAUUUGACGAAAUUAUCUCCGCACUCAUAUUCUUUUUUUAAUUUGGAUAUGAAUUUGGAUUUGGAUAUGUGUCAAAUGCUAAACUUUCGUACCAUAUUCGCUAAAAAUGGAUUCAGACACAAUCGAAUUUUUUAUCGAGUUCUGAGAUGGAUCAGAUUUGAUUCGGAUAUUUUUCAGAUAAUAAAAUAUACUAAAAUGCAUAUAUGUAUAUGAACUAGAAUUUGCACGAAAAAGAUACAAUGCAAUUUAAGUUUUAUUCUCAUGUUCAAACUUUGUAUUCCUACGGUUUGUUGGGUAAGAUCUGAAGGCAUGUUUGGUUCAAAAUAAAAAUCAAAAUUAGAAUGAAAAUCUGAAUAGAUCAGAAUGGAAAAUGAAAGGCUGAAAUCUCCUAAUUUCUUUUGGUUAAUAAUAGAACCGAUAGCAAUCUUCAAGUUUGAAUCAUGGGAUUAGUGCAAGAACACAAGGUAUCUAUUUUAAAAUUUGGAAGCUCAAGGAAGUUAUGCCACGUGUUAAACUAUAUAUUCAUCUGGCGUGCUUUUGUGGAUGCUCUUCCAGUGGGCAUCAAGCUUGCGGAGCGUAUACCUCAUUUUGGAGACUCUUGCCCACUGUGCUAGGAGCAGUCUGAGAUGAGGGAUCAUAUGUUCUUUCAUUGUCCAUUAAGUCAGCAAGUGUGGUUUGCCUCGCAGGUUGGUUUGCGCACUGCAUAGUCAUCACUAACUUUCAUAGAGUGGUUGGAUGCACUCAUUAACAAUGAACGAUUUUACGAGAUUCGGGCAUACUGCAUGCAUGUGUUGUGGUCCAUUUGGAAGGCACGAAAUGAUUAUAGUUUUCAGCACAAGAAAUUUUUGUGCUCGGAAGUUUUGAGGAAUGCGAGAAUAUGGACGAAGCUCUAUAGCAAAGCUCACCUUCAGCCUCUCCAUAUUCCUGAUCCGUCGACUAUCAAUUCUUUUUCACGACCAAAUACCAUCUGUUGGGUGGAUGGUGCUUGGAAGGAAAAUCGCUCGGGUGGAAUUGGAUAUUUAGUCGUAGAAGAGGAUGUCGUCAUUUAUUGUUGCGCAGCACCUUCCUUCGAUUCAGAAACUGCCCUUGCUGUUAGAAUUUGGUUAGAUUUGUAGUUAAAUCCUAUUUGGAUAAGAAUUAAUAUUUAAAUCUGUUUGAGAUAAAUUAAGAUUUAAAUAUUAAUUAGAGGAUAAAUCUAACUAGAUUAGGAUUAAUAUUUAAAUCUAUUAGAGAUUAAUUAAGAUAGAUUUAGAUAUUAAUUGGAAUAGAAAUCCUAAAUAUAUUAGGAUUGGGGUACGUUUUAGUGGAGCUUUAUAAAUAGCUCUUUGUUGGUUUGUUUUUGAGGUGAAGUACGGGAGAGAGAGAGAGAGAGUCUCUUGGGUUGCCGUACCAGAGAGAGAAAAAGAGAGAGAGAAAGAGAGUUAUUUAAUUAUGCUUUGAGUGCACCUAGUGCACGGGUGCAUGUGAAGGAUUGUCUUCUUUAUGGAUUUAUAGAAGACGAGAGAAUGGUAGAAAAGAUUCAGAAAGAGGGCUCGGGUUGUAGCUACUCUGUGCAGUAGAGGAGUCAGGUGUAAUCUUCUCUUAUUUAAUGAAUCUUAUUUUACUCGUAUAUUUUCUAUUUUUUGGUAUUUCUCUCUUUUAUGAUUGUAUCAGCUUUUGCUGAGGAGACGGGUUUAUGGUAAAAAUCCGAUUCGACAUUUCCGUUGCGGAAUCCCAACAAUCAAUACCGAAUCCACAGCAAUCGGUAUCGGAGCGGGUUGUGGAUUCACGAGAUCCGGUACCGGGGCGAGUACCGGAUUCCCAACAAGUGGUAUCAGAGCCGAAGGUUACCGAUCUGCGGGAGAAAUCGACAAAGAUGGCCACGAAAUUCGAAAUCGAGAAGUUCGACGGCAAGAACAAUUUCGGAUUAUGGCAAAUUAAAGUACGAGCAAUCCUCGUACAGCAAGAAUUGGACGAGACAUUGAACGGGAAGGAGGCGAAGCCGGCGGAGGUCACGGAUGCGACAUGGACGAAGAUGGAGCGGAAGGCACUGAGUACGCUUCAUCUCUCAUUAGCAGAUGAGGUUCUUUACAACGUAGCCAGUGAGACGACACCAGCGAAGUUGUGGAAGAAACUAGAAGAUCUGUAUAUGACCAAAUCCUUGACGAACAGGUUAUAUCUGAUGCAGCGAUUGUUUACGCUGCGGAUGCAUGAAGCGGCAAGCCUACAUGAUCAUCUGAACGAGUUCAACAAGGUGGUGGCCCAGUUGACCAGCAUCGGAGUCAAUCUGGAUGAUGAAGACAAGGCGUUGAUCCUACUAUCUUCGCUACCGACGACAUAUGAGCAUCUGGUGACCACGUUGCUUUAUGGCGAGGAGUCCAUAAGCGUGGAGGCGGUCACGGCGGCGCUUCUCUCGAACGAGAUGCGGAAGAUGACUCAGGAGUCCGGCACACAGAGCAGGGAUAUAGCUUUGGUGGUGAGAGCGAAGAAGGAGGCGACAACAUCAGCGACCGGAUAUCGACAGAAGAAACCGCUAUCUGAGGUAGAAUGCUUUUACUGUCACAGGAAGGGGCAUAUCAAGCGCAAUUGUCGAAAACUUCAGGAUAAUCUGAAGGAGUUAAAGCGACAGACGGAGCAAACUGUCGUGAACCAGGAUGAGACGGUAUCAGCGACGGCGCAGACAGCAGAAUCGGAGAUGAUCGAUUCUGAUGUGCUAUAUGCAGCGACCGGAGGUGCGAAAAUUUCGGAUGACGCGUGGGUGCUCGAUUCGGCGUGUUCUUUUCACGUAUGCCCGGAGAAGGAGUCUUUUGCAACCUAUAAGACGAUCAAAGGUGGAAAAGCUCUAAUGGGGAACGGGACGACGUGCAAAGUUUUGGGAGUCGGCACGGUGAAGAUCCGAAUGCACGAUGGAGUCGUGAGGACGCUGACAGGUGUGCAACACAUUCCUGGAUUGAGACGAAAUUUGAUCUCGUUAGGCGCGUUGGACUCGAAAGGUUGUGAUAUUUCGGCUUCAGGUGGAGCUAUGAGUGUCCGAAAACGAGAUCGGAUCGUAUGCGAGGCGAACAAGCGUGGGAACUUAUACAUUCUGAACGGGAGCACAGCCAGAACGGGAGCGAAGACGGUUUGGGUUCCAAAAGUUCGCGGAUGUGCAGUUGCUCGAGACGGAGCGACGGAUGCGGCGACAUCGAGCGGAGGAGACAAGCUCAAGGUGGAGCUUGCAUGGUGAGCUCGACGUAGCGGUUGAAAAUUACAAAUCAAACCAAGGUGGAAAAUGUUAGAAUUUGGUUAGAUUUGUAGUUAAAUCCUAUUUGGAUAAGAAUUAAUAUUUAAAUCUGUUUGAGAUAAAUUAAGAUUUAAAUAUUAAUUAGAGGAUAAACCUAACUAGAUUAGGAUUAAUAUUUAAAUCUAUUAGAGAUUAAUUAAGAUAGAUUUAGAUAUUAAUUGGAAUAGAAAUCCUAACUAUAUUAGGAUUGGGGUACAUUUUAGUGGAGCCUUAUAAAUAGCUCUUUGUGAGUUUGCUUUUGAGGUGAAGUACGGGAGAGAGAGAGAGAGUCUCUUGGGUUGCCGUACCAGAGAGAGAAAAAGAGAGAGAGAGUUUGCUUUUGAGGUGAAGUACGGGAGAGAGAGAGAGAGUCUCUUGGGUUGCCGUACCAGAGAGAGAAAAAGAGAGAGAGAGAGAGAGAGAGUUAUUUAAUUAUGCUUUGAGUGCACCUAGUGCACGGGUGCAUGUGAAGGAUUGUCUUCUUUAUGGAUUUAUAGAAGACGAGAGAAGGGUAGAAAAGAUUCAGAAAGAGGGCUCGAGUUGUAGCUACUCUGUGCAGAAGAGGAGUCAGGUGUAAUCUUCUCUUAUUUAAUGAAUCUUAUUUUACUCGUAUAUUUUCUUUUUUUUGGUAUUUCUCUCUUUUAUGAUUGUAUCAGCUUUUGCUGAGGAGACGGGUUUAUGGUAAAAACCCGAUUCGACGUUUCCGUUGCGGAAUCCCAACAAUCAAUACCGGAUCCACAGCAAUCGGUAUCGGAGCGGGUUGUGGAUUCACGAGAUCCGGUACCGGGGCGAGUAUCGAAUUCCCAACACUUGCUGCAAAGAUACGAGCAUGUACUGAGGCGGUUAAGUGGCUUCUAAAUAAUCGGCCUAAUAUCAAGUGCUCAAUUUACACAGAUUGGACCACUAUCGUUCGUUCCUGUUUGUUUAAGGACCAGCAUUUCCCGUUUUCACUACAAGAAUUAGAGCGUAUUGCUUCACUUCAACGCCUUUUGGACUCCAAUAAUAAUAUUCUUAUAGGUGGUCUUCUAGAUAUAGCUCAUUUUCAUAAUGUGUUGAUAAACUAGCUAAAUAGGGCCUUGGUUCCCAGGUAGCUUCUAAGAGUUUGAGAAGUCUGUAAUUAUUUAUCCUAUUGAAUAAAUGCCUUAUGGCGUUUCUUUUCAAAAAAAAUAAUAAUAAUAAUAAUAGAAAUCAGACUCAAAAUCAACCCAUUUUUAUUGUUUAGUUAAGUGAAAUUUAAUUGCCUCUAAAAAGUGUUAAAAAUAGAAGUAACAAAACAAAAUAUAAAAUUCAAAUCUAAAGUUUAAAAUUUGAAUUUGAAUUCAUAGUUUCUAUUCAUAUCUCCUAUGUAAGUUACAAUUCACAAUUUAUAUAUAUUUUUUGAAAUUUUAGUUUAAAUUUGGUUUCAAAAUAAUAUAUAUAUUGAAUUCACAAUUAAAUCAUGUUUAUAUUUGAAUUUCAAAAAAUUUAAUUUUAGUUAAAAUUAAAUUCAUAAUGAAAAUUUGAAUCCAAAUUUGAACUGAUACUUUGAACCUAAAAUAUAAAUUUAAAUAAAAAUUCACGAUUCAAAUUCAAGUUCAAAGUCAAGAUUACAACUUUGUCAAAAUUCAAACAUCAAUCUUAUAUUAAAAUUUAAAAAUUUAAAAAUUUAAAUUUAUAUUUUAGUUCAUACUUUAAAUUCAAAUUUGACAUUAUAAUUAAAUCUAAAUUUAAAUAUAUAUAUAUAUAUAUAUAUANCGGUUAGGAUAAUAGUAAUAUCUUAAGGUUAAUGGUUGGUUGGUUAAAUAGUAAAAUCUAAUUGAUGAAAAUGGUCAAAGAGGUAGAUCUAACGGUAGAAAACUUACAAGCACUAAGUGCUUUACACUUUUAAAAGCAUCAUAGCCAGAUUCCAUAUAUAGAUAUAUUUAAAUUUAUAUUUACAAGCACUAGGUGCUUUAUGCUUUUAAAAGCAUCAUAGUUGCAUUUUGCAUGCUAAUUAAGCAAGCCCUCUACUACAUUACCUCAUUGUCAUUUAUUCUUUUACAGGCUAUAAUUACUAACAUAUAUUAAUUUUCCAAUAUCCAGAUUAGAUGUUUUCGGGCAUCUUUUGCAGUUUUUGAGACCUGCAUCUGUAUCCGACCAGAUAAAGAUAUUUCCUAUUCGGAUAGGGAUAAAAAUGGAAUACAAGCACGGAUAUGAUAAGGUAUUAUUCGAUCUAUUUUCACCCGCCGUAUUUCCAAGUUGAACAACUCCUUGUCUCUUAACAUCUUCUUCCAACUUAUCGAUCUUAUCCGUUUCAAUUCAGGGUGCCAAAUGUUACGGUGAUGGGCCACCAACAAAUACAUUCUAUAUACUUAUUAUGGUAUAUAGAGGUUUCCACAAAAAGUAAAAUAGAAAAAACGAGAGAGGAAGAAGACAAAUCAAAGAAUCUGGUACGUUGUAAUGGAAGCAAAACAAAAUAACUUUAUUGAAGAAAAUAACUCAUCACCAUAUGCAACCUUCGGCGAGCGCUAAUUAAUUAUGGCGACUCCCGGCUUCAUUAACCAAAUAAUCCCGACCUAUCAAUUUAUAACUAAUUAUAUAGAAUCCUACUCUAAUUAGAUUUCAUCUUAACCAUCAUUUAAAUAAUAACCGAAUAUAUCUUAACCAUAACCGAAUAUAAUAAUGGAUAAUAUCAAAUAAUCUAAUCCUAAUCUAAUUAUCAUUAUCUCUAACACUCUCCCAAUAAUGCUAAUGUCCUUCACACCGAUCUUCUCUCGGCAAAAUAUGAAUUUCUCCAAUGGUAGUGGCUUUGUGAAAAUAUCGGUCAUCUGCUCCUCGGUUGCGUACUGUAUCAACUCGAAUCCUUCUCGUACUUUUUCGAUCAUCAACUGAAUCUGCCCAACCACUAUUAAAACAAUCAAAAUAAAAAUCGUUAGGAUUAGUAUACCACAACCGGUGGUCUCUUGUUCCUUUCAAAUCUCUCAAUAUCCUUUUCGCCUUAUAUAUCCACUUAAAUCCAAUAACUUCUUUAUCUAUAGGCGAUUCAUCAAACUCGUAGAUAUUAUUUUUCCUUAACGCUGCAUUUUCUUUGUUCGUCGCCUUAUACCAAUCAUUAGAUUUUGCUACCUUUUCGCAGUUUUGUGAUUCUCCACAUUGUGAAUACAUGCAUUGUUCGUAUAUUUCACUAAGUGAUCUUACUUUUCUUAGCAUCGUCUCUGGAGAAGUUUAUAGUGAAAUUCGCGGUGAAGCUUAUGGUGUUGUUUCCGUACUUGUCGUACUUUCACCAUUGUUUCUAUUUUCAGUUGCAGUUCCAUUUUCGAAUAUCAGAAGUGGAUUAUCCUGCACUUUUGCGCUCCAAUCCCAAGCUUUUUGUUCAUCAAAUAUGGCAUCACGAUUUAUAAUUAAAGAGUUAGUAGCAGGAUUAUAAAAUCGAUAAGCUUUACUUCUUUCGCUAUAUCCAACAAAAAUACACUUCUGACUAUUAUCAUCCAAUUUUUGCCUAUUUUGUGAUGGGGUAUGAACAAAAGAAACUAAUCCAAAAAUUUUAAAGUGUUUUACCUUCGGUUUCCACCCCGUCCAUACUUCAUAAGGUGUAAUAUUCUCCAGCGCUAAAGUUGGACUUCUAUUGAGAAUGUAUGCUGCAGUAGAUACCGCUUCUGUCCAAAAUUUGUUCGGGAGAUUUUUCGCUUUCAACAUGCUUUUUGCCAUCUUGACUAAACUUCGAUUUUUGCGCUUUGCAACACCAUUCUGCUGAGGUGUGUAACUGGUUGUCAACUGCCUGUGGAUACCAUUAGCCUUACAAAAAUUUUCAAACUUGUUAGAAAUAAAUUCUCCCCCUCGAUCUGUACGGAAGGUCCUAAUAUAAUAACCGGAUUCGUUCUCAACCAAAUUUUUAAAUUUCUGAAAAACAUCAAAAGCAUCGGAUUUAUUUUUGAUAAAAUAAACCCAAGUCAUCCGGCUAUAAUCAUCCACGAAAACUACAAAGUAGUAAUUGUUGCUGAGCGACGGUGUCUGCAUCGGUCCGCAUACAUCUGCAUGUAUCAAUUCUAAUGGUUCUUUGGCUCUUCUUUUGCUCUUUCUCGAAAAAGAGUCCCUGUGAUACUUUCCUAGCACACAACUUUCACAUACAGAACCAUUAUUAUGCACCAAAGGCAAACCAUCAACCAUAUUCUUUUUAUGUAAUAGAUCAAGUCUCUUAAAACUCAAGUGACCAUAUCGAUAGUGCCAUAACCAAUCAUCAUCUAGCACUAUUUUCAUUGCAACAUGAAUAGGAAAAACUUUAUUUUCUGUCAUCGGAACUUCAAAAAGUAAAUUCUUUUUAUCUUUAUCUCCAUAAAUUGUGCACUUAGAAUUUUCAAAAAUAAGCGAAUGGCCUUCUUUCAAAAAUUGACCCACACUAAAAAGAUUGGAAUUCAAUCCUGUAACAUAUAAGACAUUAUUUAUUUUUUGCAUUCCAGAAAUAUUUACCGCAAUUGUACCUCUUCCGUGCACGUCAUGGACAUAGCCGUCACCCAUUGUCACGCGGCCUUUAACCGAUUUGUCUAAAUUAAUAAAGUUUUCUUCUUUUCCUGUCAUGUGACUGCUACAACCACUAUCGACAUACCAAAUAUUAUUAGUAGUUUUUUCUAAUGAAUGACAUGCAAAAAGUACAUUAUCGUUUUCAUUCUUUUCACAAACAAAAUUCGCAUUCUGUUGUUUCAAUCGACAAAAGCGCUCGAUAUGGCCAAAUUUUUUACAAUAAUAACAUUGAAUAUUUUUACGAUUACGGGAUUGAUCGUUACCUCCGUAGGUUCUCUGAUUUUGAUUACAUGAUCUUUCAUCGUUUCUGUUGUUGAAAUCACCUGAUCUACCUCCGCGGCCUCUGCCCUGGCCACGACCACGACCUCUACCAUAGCCACCGUAUGCUGAAGCUUGAUAAUUAGAAGAAUUGGCACCAUCUUUUUCACUGCUUUUCGAUUCACUUUGAAAAGCAUGCUCAGACAAAUUUUCUGUUCUAUCUUUUCGUUCUUCAUGUGCUAAAAGAGAACUAAGAAGUUUGCUAUAAGAUAAUUUAAAUAAAUCUUUUGCCUCUUCUAUAGCAGAAACAACAUCACCAUAUUUUUUCGUUAGACUUCUUAAAAUUUUUUCGACUACUGUUUGAUCAGUAAUUUGUUCACCAUAUGUAUGCAUCAAGAUAACUAAUUCCAUAACNAAGAGAACUAAGAAGUUUGCUAUAAGAUAAUUUAAAUAAAUCUUUUGCCUCUUCUAUAGCAGAAACAACAUCACCAUAUUUUUUCGUUAGACUUCUUAAAAUUUUUUCGACUACUGUUUGAUCAGUAAUUUGUUCACCAUAUGUAUGCAUCAAGAUAACUAAUUCCAUAACUUUAGAAUAAAAGGUAUGAAUAUUUUUAUUUUCUUGCAUAAAUGAAGCUUCAAAUCUUCUUUUUAAAGUUUGAAUCUUAACUCUGAGUACCUUUUCGUUACCUUGGUAUUCCUUCUGUAAUAUAUCUCAUGCUUCCUUCGAUUUUGUAGCGCCGGCAAUGUGGAAAAAUAUCGAAUCGUCAACUGAUUGCUGAAUAAAAAAAAGCGCCUUUGCAUCUUUUUUCAGAUUCUCUCCGGUUGUUUCCUUGCAUCCUUUUUCAACAAAAUCUCAUAAAUCUUAGAAUCGCAGCAACGUCCGCAUCUUCACGCACCAAAAAUCAUAAUUGUCCCCCUUGAAUAUCGGGAAUCCUUGUGCAACUCCAUUAGCGCUGUUAAACGCUAUCAACACCUUCUCCUCUCGAAAUUCAGGCUCUGAUACCACUUGUUACGGUGAUGGGCCACCAACAAAUACGUUCUAUAUACUUAUUAUGGUAUAUACAGGUCCCCACAAAAAGUAAAAUAGAAAAAAUAAGAGAGGUAGAAGACAAAUCAAAGAAUCCGAUACGUUGUCAUGGAAGCAAAACAAAAUAACUUUAUUGAAGAAAAUAACUCAUCACCAUAUGCAACCUUCGGCGAGCGCUAAUUAAUUAUGGCGACUCCCGGCUUCAUUAACCAAAUAAUCCCGAGCUAUCUAUUUAUGACUAAUUAUAUAGAAUCCUACGUACUCUAAUUAGAUUUCAUCUUAACCAUCAUUUAAAUAAUAACCGAAUAUAUCUUAACCAUAACCGAAUAUAAUAAUGAAUAAUAUCAAAUAAUAUAAUCCUAAUCUAAUUAGCAUUAUCUCUAACACCAAAAUCGGCACUUAAGAAUCACAACUUCUUGGUAUGUUUAUUAUAAUUAUAUUCUUAAUUUUUACCAUUCUAGCAAUAGUAUGAUUGUAGUCAAGAUUCUUAAGCAAGCUUUUCGAUAGUGGGUCUCAUUGGUUGGCCCUCUUCUAUAUAUGAAUGGAGCUCCCAUUAUAAUAGUGGAAAUUUGUUGGUGUUAUAUAUAUUUGUUUUUUUUUUUUUUUUUUCAAUUGGGCAGUUUUAAUCAAAGUAAAAUUCCAUCAGUAACACUAGUUCUCAGAUUUUUGUACCAUCAUCUACUUAAUUUUGCUCCUUUUUCUUUGGGAGGUUGGAAAGAGAGGGUGUUUGGAGUUGUGGGAAUUUAACAAUCAAAAGGCUGGUGAGUCAUGAAGCACCAGUUGUUUUUUUAAUUAAAAGAUAUUAUUAAUUAACUGAAUGAGAAUUCGAACAACUUGGACAAAAAUAAUGCUAGGAUAAGACCCCUGAGAGGAGAUCACUUUCUUAUCAACACCUUUUCUUGUACUACUUUUAGCAACCUUGUGUAGUACUAUUCCUCCAUUGACCUAGUUAUCAUGCAUCCUUCAUUAGAACAAUAGAGAGAAAGCAUCUGAUUUCUAAAUGUUGUCUCCUUAAUGAUCAAAUUAACAGGUGAAAAAUAUAGGAUGAAAAUAAAUUCUUUGUAUCAUUUCAAUAGCAAGAAAGCUUCAUUUUCUGUAAUAAGGAAAGUAUCUAUUCCCCCUUUAGAAGACAAUAUUGUGUUGGAUCGUUUCUCUCUUAGAAUAAUUGUUCGGUGGAAUUAGAAUUUUUAUUGACCAGCUACUGGUUUUUAUUGUAUUAUUAUUCCCACAUAUAUAAUUCAUAAUUAUUAACCCAAUAAGUUUUUAAGUUGACAAUCACCUCGAUCUAUCUAAAAAAAAAUGUUUGAUAUUUGGAGUCAUAAUUUAUUUAGGUUAAAUGUUUACUAAAAUAGAUUUUAUAACUAGCAUCAAAUUAUUUGCUUAUGAUAAAUUAGUUUCCUUUUCCCCUCUGUAUUUGUAUUUUUUUUUUUUUUUUGAGAAAAAUGUAGCAUGUUACUUGUUUCAUUUCUUUUUUUCCUCUAUUCAUUUCUUAAUGGUUGUAUUUGGUGAUUAACUUAAAAGUACAAUAUUGGGUGGCAUUGAAGGAAAAGGAGGAGAAGAAGCUCUUCUACUGUCAGCAAGGAAAAAUAGUUUCAUUGCUUAGACAUGUUACACAACUACAGUGCACUGUUACAAGGCAUGCAUAAUACUAAUUCUACAUAAGGAACAACACACCUCUCUCUCUCUAAAGAUCUCUCUCUCUCUCUCAACUGUGCACAGGAAGAGAGAGAAGCAUCUCAUACUCUUCAUCAUCUAUCCUCCACAGAGCUUCAGACCAGUACUCACAUACAGGAGAAGGCAAAGAAGAUGGGCCCAAAUCACUACAACAUCCUUCUUUCAAUCCCUCGAAGCUCGCCCCAUCGUCCAUCUGAUCCAAUGCGCCAAUCUCGCUCCAAAUCUGAUCCAUUGUGAAGCCCUCAUCCUUUUUGAGCUCGACGGUCUCACUCUUCUUGUCUCCGAUGUCCAUAUUCUCUUCGCUAUUCGAGGAGGAAACAUUGCUCGAGGACGACGAAGGCGACGAGUUUGACACCGAUGUUCUCGUCGUCUUCCUCUCUUGCGCCUUCUUCCGCAUCCGGGUCCUCCAGUAGUUCUUGAUCUCGUUAUCGGUCCGCCCCGGAAGGCUUUGAGCAAUUCGAGCCCACCUAGAAAGAAAAACCCCGAUCUAAACCACCAUAACCAAAAGUAGGGACAAAGCUAGCUAGUGAUAUUGGCAGGGCAGCCAUCUUAUAGUUAGUUAAGUAGGUCUGAUAUUAUUUGCUCUAUCAAUAACAACUUCUGCUUUGUAGAUACUGCUAAGAAAACACUUCAAACCAUACCUAUUUCCCCAUUUGUCGUGGAGUUCGAUCACGAGCUCUUCCUCCUGGGGUGUCAUCGGACCGCGCUUUAGGCUGGGGUGGAGGUAGUUAACCCAGCGGAGCCUACAGCUCUUUCCUGAUCUACUGAGGCCUACAAACAUCAAGCCAUGAAAGGAGGUUAAACCCGAAAAUCAGAUCAAAUCCUUGUCCUCAUAGCCCACGUAGUUAGUUACUAAGCCCUUUUAAGUACAAGGGCUAUUCGAUGAUCCCCCUCCGCCGUGCAAACCUGAAACCUUUGCUAAGUAAUCCCAACGACGUUCACCGAACAAGCGCACAAAUCGUACCAGUUGGAGGUCUUCCUGCUCACUCCACGGGCCCCUCCGUGUAUUACCUUCUCUUGCCGCUACCAUCACCGUCGCUCGUAUCGACUCUCUCUCUCUCUCUCUCUCUCUCUCUCUCUUGAUCAGCUGCAAUGAACUCUCUAUGUAGGGUGAGGGCCUUUUGCCACCACUUGCAUUUUAUAGGCACUAGUAAAAAUGGCUGGUACACGACCCCUUUCUUUAUUAAAAGUUUAGCGUAGCUUUUAGGUCUCUCUAAGGUCUUAAAUAUAAUCUACCGACUGUCCCUAGAGCAAGUGGCAAAGGUUUAGUAGUUGGUAUCUGAGAUCCAAGUUCGAAUCCUAGUUGAUUCACAUUUCCAGCUAAGUUUAUUUCUAAAUGAAAUAAACGAAGCAGGUAGCGUACUACAUAUCUCUCAAAAAAAAAAAAAGAAAAAAAAAAAGUCUUAAAUAUAAUCUGAAGUGGUUAGUAGUACUCGUCGGUACUGAUUUUGUUAGCUUAUGAAUAGAAAAGGGCUCAUAUCAGCUUAUUCUUAUUGGUUCUUUAGUUCUUGGUGGUGUUAUGGCACUAGUAAAAUGGCCAAGGUAUGGCAUACGAUCGACCUCUUUUCUUUAUUAAAAGUUUAGUGUAGCUUUUAGGUCUCUCUAAGGUCUUAAAUUUAAUCUGAAGUGGUUAAUCGUACUCGUCGGUACUGAUUUUGUUAGCUUCUAUAAAUAGAAAAGGGUCCAUUCCAGCUUAUUCUUAUUGGUUCUUUAGCUCUUGGUGGUGUUUCUUGGGAAUUUUUUUUUUUAAUUCUAGAUAUGUAUAGGAAUAAAUAUUCAUUAUCAAGUGCUUUAGUUCUAAGUGCUACUUUAGUGUGUACCUGAUUGAGAAACGUGACAUUGAAUUGUUUUUUUUUUUUUUUUUGAGAGAGAGAUAGGUAGCUCGCUAUCCGGUUCGUUUAUUUUAUUUAGAAAUAAACUUAGCUGAAAAUAUGAAUCAACUAAGAUUCGAACUUGAGUCUCAGGUACCAACCAUCAAGUCCUUCGCCACUUGCUCUAGGAAAUACUUAAAAGUUAGGGUAGGGUUUAGUCGAGAGAUAUUUUUUUCUGCUCAAUUUUGGACUAGAAUAUCACCAUUUUCUAUUGUGUGUUGGUAAAAACAGUGGAGAUAUACUCAAAAAGAGAUAUAUGUUUCUGCUCAAUUUAGAGUACUAGAACUGUUGGUCUUUAUUUUAAAUUUGUGAUUUGAAACUUUAUUUUGGCCUAUGGGCCUCCCAAUUGGCCCAAAAUCAAAUGAGUGUUAGCUGAGCUUGUGCAUCACUUGCUACAAUGAAUUUAUUCCUACAUGGAAAACUCAUGACAUCUUAUAAUGCCUUGUAUAUUUCAUCAUCUCUAUGUCGCUUGCUUAGAUAACAAUGAGAAUGGCACAACCGACUAAACACGCGAGCACGAGCACGAGCACGAGCACGAGCACGAGCUGUGCCCGGCCAGGCCGCGCGCGGGGUUUUGACUACGUACCUGUUUCGGUUAACCUAUACUUAACAUUAACCUACCUUAUCUGGGUAUGGUCCAAACAACUAACCUGAGAGUGGUCAAGAUUGUUGUUGGGUCCCAACCUCCUAUUAGCCCUACCUGCUGCAGCUCGGGGCGGCACCUACAUCUAUGUAGGGAAGUGUACAGAGGGGAUACCCGACCUUCUUCUGAUACAUAUGCUUCUCCGAGCUUUAACCUACCUCUCUGAUCUUUAUUUUUUCUUCUGAUCUUUACUCCACUCGCUGGAUCUCUGAGAGCCCUUCUUAUUCAGUUUCCGUUAUCUUGGCGAAGUGCCAACGGGGGUAACUUUGCGCCACCUUGAUCUUUCCCUUUUCUUCUAAUCUUUACUCUAGUUGUUGGAUCUCUAAGAGCCUUCUUGGUUCACUUUGCGCUAUCUUGGAGAUGUGCCGACGGAAUAACUUUGCGCUAUCUUGGAGACGUGCCGAUGGAAUAACUUUGCGCUACCUUAGAGACAUACUGACAGGGUAACUCGUGGUCAUUAUAUCGCUAUAAGUGAUCAUCAGAGCCUCCCAUGUGCAGGGGUAACAUUACUUCUAGGAGAGUACCUACUUUUUUUCGACUCACAAGUCUCAUCUGAACUUUUUAUCUCUAUUAUAUUUUGUCAUUAAUUCUUACAUACGAUUUUUCAAAAAAUAAUGUUUUAACAUUUUCAAAUCAAAAUAUUUUAAAAUGGCCAAUUUCUACUAAAAGAAUAGAGUGUUUUCCAACAAGAACAUCAUCAAUCUCUAUUGUGUUUGGUAUUAGCAUUAUCAUCACUAUGUACCUAAGUAAACACCCCUUCAAUGUCUUUCGAUAAUUACUUAGUUAUUGUAGAGGCAAGAUAUUUCUCUUAAUUUGCACUAUGCUUGAAAGCUUUGAAACUUUCCGUAGUGUCAUCAUUUUUUCAAAAGAAAGGUAGUAUGCUAGCAGUUUUUUUUUAAAAAAAAUAUCAAUUGUGCUGGAAACGUAAAGUAUUUAUGCUUCACAUUUGGAACCUCAAAUAUUAAUCAUCAAAUUCUUCAAGGCUUGCGCUAGGAACAGCUAGUAUAUUCUUAAAGUUUCUGUAGGCCCUUUUAUGUUAUGACCUAUGAAAACUAAUACCAGAUAAAGUCAGGUACAACUCUCCUAGAGUAGGUCUUGUGUGCUAUUAGGAGCACAAAGGUCUCUGUACUUCUAAGCCGUUUUUGUUGCUGGAACUUUUGAAUUGACGAUCAGCUCCGUUAGCCUUGAUCUAGCAUAUUUAAAAUAUCUAGAAAAUAAAUUUUACGUUUUUUCGAUAUCAUUUAUCUAGCGAUUGAAAGUGUUCAAAAUCAACAAUUUUAAUGAUUGUCGUUGGUAAGUUUGACAGUGUAGAAGUAUUCAAAUCAAAUAAAAUUUUGAUAGAAAAUUCUUUAUACUAUUUACUAUAAAAUCAAUAUCUCUGAUAAAAAAUUUUAGUAUCAUAUCAUCACCACUUUUUGUAAGAUUUUUAUUUUCAGCUGUUGGUCUUGAACCAUUUUGAUCGCAAGGUAAACGAUAUCAAAAAACUGCAAAAUUUAUUUUCUAAAUACUUCAAAUACGCUAAAUCAAGUCUAAAAAAGCCGAUCGUCGAUUCGGAAGCUUUAUCAUCGAAAACGUCUUAAGAGCACGGAGGCCUCUGUACUCCUAAUAGCACACAAGACCUACUCAACUCCCCUAUAUAUAUGUUUUCUUGAAAAGCACUUUUGGGGAUUCAAUCCUUCGACCUUAGGCUUAUCAUCAAGCCCUUAACUAAUCGGAUUUAGUACGCGCAUGAGUCAAUAUGUUUUAACCCUUUAUAAAUGUGGGGGAUUUUACUCUAUUACUAUAGGUACUGGAACCUUAAUUUAAUUCUCUAUGCUUUUUCUUACACAGCUUUUGAUGUACAUGAAAACGUAAAUUGUUGUUUUUUCAUUGCCAAACAGACACCUGACAAAAAUUACUAGCAAUUUGUCAUUCACCCCUUCACUCUUUAAUAUAGUAGUUCUAUUUGAAUAAAUAAAAAGAUAACCACAUCAAAUAAGACCUAAAACUUUUAGUUUAAGAACUUCAAAGACUCAAAACUCGAAACUGAACCUGAAUCCGAAUUCAAACCAAAUCUAUAUAAAAGUUUAUUUUAUAUAUGUAAAAUAUAAUUUUUAGUAUUUAUUGUAAUAAUUAAUACAUAUUAAUAGUUUAAUUUAAUAUUUAGUGCAUAAGAUAAUCCGGUUCUACUUUUUGGUUUAGGAAAUGAAUUUUUGAUUAUUUUUUGUCGGAUUCAGUUUCGAAUUUAAAUUUGAUAGAAAUAUAUAAAACUUACCUUAACUAUCAUCCUUUUUUUUUUUUUAAGAGAGUGGCAACUGGCAAAGGGCUUAACGGUUAGUACCGAGUUCCUAAAUUCGAAGCCUAGUUGCUUCACAUUUCCAGUUAAGUUUAUUUCUAAAAAGAAAUAAAUGAAGCGGGUAACAUGCUAUAUACUUUUCUCUCAAAAAAAUAAAAAUUAUUUUCCAAUCUAAUCAUUAAAAAUUUUGAUAUUCCUAUCUAACUUUUUAAUUUAUUUGAUUUAAGCCACUUAGUGAUCCUUUAACUUCAAAACUUGAGUACGUAAUUUAUAUUUAGGGGUUUAGUUAUUAUAUUUUAUAUAAUUUACAUAAUUAUAAAUUCAUUAAAGUAAGUAAUUAUUAUAUAUACAAAUAUUAAAACAUCUUUCUCGAUUAGAUUAAAUUUUUUGAAGAAUAAUAUAUAUAUAUAUAUAUAUAUAUAUAAUAUAUAUAUAAUAUAUAUAUAUAUAUAUAUAGAGUCCGCGCUACAUAUAUAUCUUGAUGAGUCACGGAUCGUCUUCGUACUCAUUAGUCGUUUUCGAUGAUAGAGCUCCGAAUCGAUAAUCCAUCACCGUAAAAUUUUCUAGAGCAUUUAAAACUUCUAGAAUCAAAUUCAUAAUUUUAGACAUCAUUUACUCUUACCGAUCAAAAGCUCACAAAAUUGACAUUUUAACGGCUGUAUGGAAAUACUUGCUAGUUUAACGGUGCAAAGAAUCCAAAUAGGUUGAAUUUUUGAUAGAAAAUUCUAUUCACUACCUAUAUAAAGAUCAAUAACUCCGAUCUUAAAUUGAAGAAAUCCGAUCAUCCUUUUUUAAGGCGUCGUUCGAUUUGACCUGUCAUUUUAUGCUCGCUUGAUGAACAUUAUUAUGAUUUUCGAAAAAUUACAAAAUUUAUUUUCUAGAAGUUUCAAUACUCUAGAUCAUAUUUAACAGAGUGGAUCAUCGAUUCGAAAGGCUCCAUCAUCGAAAACAACUUUAGGUACGAAAGACCUAAUACGUACUCAUAAAGUAUAGCAGCUACUAUAUAUAUAUAUAUAUAGAGAGUAGGGCUAGAAUACUUGUAAAAGUAUCAUGGGGGUGAUAUUUGUGUGUUUUUAACCCUUGGAUGGAGAAUGUGAGAUUGAGAUGAUGGUGGAGUAGGUUGUGGUAGGUGGUGUAUGGUGGAAUAGUGUUUAAUUCAAGGGCUAUUAAGAUAAUCAAAAGUAGAUCAAUUUGAUGGCAUUAAAAUUUUCUAAUAGACUCAUGGAUGAUGGAUACUUAUAAAAGUAUUGUAGCCCUACUUUUAUAUAUAUAUAUAUAUAUAUAUAUAUAUAUAUAUAUAUAUAAAAUUUAACGUGAUAUAGGAGUAAGAGGUCUUGAGUUCGACACGUCAUGGGUAUACAAAAAAGUUUCAAGUCCAGACUUGAAAUGGAUUGUUAAAUGUAAAAUAUAGAAACAUCAUUUUCUUCUGACUAAGUUUUUAGAAGAUAACGAUUGUUUCACAUAUAUAAUUGAACAACAAGUAGCUUGAAUUUUGUAUCCAAAUAGGCAUCAAAUUAAUUACUUAACACCAAAUAAAUUAAAAUAUUAAUAUUAAAAAUAAAAUUUUAAAAGAUUAAAGAAUCGUAUUGAAAUAAUUUAUAGUUCAGAAAAAUUCUUAAUAUUUUUAUCUUUGAAUUUUCAUAUCCGGUCAAAUUCAGGUAUGACUUGGAAUAUUUAUUUUUAUUUUUUCAUUCAGAUUCAGAUUGAGGUGACAAAUAAGUUGAAGAGAAAAGCAACGCUUAUCGUGUCAUGUACAGUCCUCGCCAUUCACAUUCAGUCCCUUCCAUCAAAAGUGAGAGAGAGAGAGAGAGAGACACGUGGGAUCCCCGAUUUGACGCCUCGUUGCAAAACCACGUUCCCUCGACGCAACAAUGAUUAGUCACCUCAAAACAAAAAUAAGGAAGGAAUAAAAAGAAAAGGUAAAAUUCAACGCUACAGAUAAGUUGGACAUCAGUUUCAGAAGAGCAUUUCUUAUGAGCUUUCCAAAUUACUAGUUCUAUAAAUUAUUAAUGUACUAGAAUAAAUAAUAGAUUUAAUACAUACAGUAGAGCCACUAUAUUUUUGAAAAUAUAUAAAAGAGUUCAUAUUUUUAACUUUUUGGUUCUUGGAUCAACCUUUUUUACCAUUUUUGACAUUUGGAGUAAUAUUAUUACCUUUGAGGGACCACACAAUCCUAAAGGGACCACUCAUUCCUAAUAGGGACCACUAUCAUCCCGAGCCUACAAUUCUUGAUCCAAGGGCAAAACAAUCGAAAACACCAACAUCCUUAUGUUUUCAAUAGAAUAGUAGUUCUACACUAUAUAUAUAUAUAUAUAUAGUUGGACUGGGCUACUAUUAGUAGCAAAAUUCCAUUGUUGCUACCAAUUUUUUAACCUUUGGAUCAACUCUUUUCAUUAUUUCUAACAAUUGGAUUAAAUACUAUAACCCAGUGGGGACCACUCAACCCUAGGGGGACCACUCAACUCUAACCGACGUAUAUCAUCCUGACCCUACAAUUUUUCAUCCAAGGGUUAAAAACUUGAUAGCAAAAAAGAGCGAUUUACUAUUAAUAGUAUUCCAGCCUAAUUCUAUAGUAUAUGAAGUAGGCCUGGAUACUAUUAAUAGUAAAUCGUCUCUUUUUGCUAUCAAGUUUUUUAACCCUUGGAUGAAAAAUGUAGGUCAGUCGAGUGAUAUACCGUCGGUUAGAGUAGUGGUCCCCCUAGGGUUGAGUGUCGCCCACUGGGUUAAAUAUAUUUAAUCCAAUUGUUAGAAUAAGAAAUAUUUGAUCCAAAGGUUAAAAAAUUGGUAGCAACAAUGAAUUUUUGCUACUAAUAGUACCCAGUCCAACUCUAUGUAUAUAUAUAUAAUAUAUUAUAUACUAUAGUAUAUAAUAUAUUAUAUAUAGAGAGAGAGAGAGAGAAGAUGAGAGAGGCUAGACCGGUAUACUAUCGUAGCACGAGACCUCCGUGCUACCAAGUUGUAUUCAAUGAUGCGCUUUCGAAUCGACGAUCGUCUCCGUAAGACUUAUUCUAACUUAUUAAAAUUAUUUGAAACUAAAUUUCAUAAUUUGUCGACAUUUAUUGCUAGUGAUCAAAAGGUCUCACAAAUUGAUCAUAUUAUGGUAGAUGUGAUAUGUUUGUAAAUUUAACAGUGUAAAAUAAUCCAAAUCUAAUGAAAUUUUUUAUAGAAAAUUUUUUUCACUAUUUAGAGUAAGAUAAUACCUCUGAUCUUAAAUUCAAGUCUUUUAUAUCAUUUUUUAUGAGAUUUUUAUUCUUACGUCAUUUUUAGACUACUCGUUUGAUAGCUAAAUGAUGCAAAAAAAUUAUAAAAUUUAGUUUCCAAAUAAUUUCAAUUGUGUAUCGAUCAUAGUCUAAUGGAGUCCUGAUCGUUCGAUUUGAAGCUCGAUUCAUUGAAACAAUUAACUUGUGUACUACGAAUGCUCCAGUGCUAGCCUGAGAGUAUACCAACCUUUAUAUAUGAUAUAUAUAUAUAUUAUAUUAUAUAUAUAUAUAUAUAUAUAUUUAUAUAUAAGUUAUAUAUAUAUAUUAUAUAUUAUUGAGUGUAGUGCUUACUAUUCAUCUGAAGCAACGAGCUUUCCGUGCUUCCAGCGUUUUCGAUGUUGCGCUACUUCCAAAUCGUCGAUCGUCCCGUUAAAUUGAUUAUGAGUAUUAGUUACCUAGAUAUAAAUUUAGGAUUUACGGUUACUCAUUUGCCUAUGAGACGAAGGUCUUCAAACCUCAAACGCUGAAAAUAAAAUAUUUUACAAUAAUGUAAUAAUUAUGACAUUAAAAUUUUAAUCAAGAUAUUUGAUCUGUUAAUAUAGUAAUAUCAAUGAAUUUUUCUAUCAAAAUUUCAUACGUGAUUUGGAUAUUUCUAUCACCGUUAAAGGCUUGCAAACGAGGUUCAUUACGGCUCAUGAAAUUUCUGUUUCGAUAUUUAGAGCCCAUUCGAUCACUAAGGGUCAAAUGAUCAUCGAAAAAUAAGAAAUUUAUUCUAGGUACAUCCAAAUACUCUAGAUCAAGUUUAUCGGAGCCCGAUCGAUCGAUUCGGGAAAUAGUCGCAACAAUCAAAAAAAGAGCUGGAAGCACGAAAGGCUCCUGCUACCCUGAUACAUAUGUAGCCUCACCUAAUUAUAUAUAUAUAUAUAUAUAUUAUAUAAUAUACUAUAUAUAUAUAUUUAUAUAGAACUAGCUACUAUGCCUAUAUAGCACAAAGUUUAUUGGCGCUACCGGAAAUUUUUGGCCAUUGUGAAUUAAGAGAUGUGCGGUAGAGAUUGUGGGCCCCUUUAGUGGUUGAGUGGUCGUUGGUUGAAUAGUAUGUUAUCUAAACUGAUGAAAAUUGAUCAUAAAGAGUAGAUCUACGGCGUGAAAACUUGUACACCAUUUGCUUCGUUUGCAUAUUAAUAGGAUAGUGCCAACAUCCGAUAUAUAUUAUUAUAUAUUAUAUAUUAUGAUAUAUUAGUUGAGCUAUGAAUAUCGUUUACAAGAUCUACAAAUCAUGUGGCUUAUUAGGUUUUUUAAGUCAUUGGAUCUAACUUUAUUGAUUAUUAAUAGCCUUUGAUUAAACACUAUUCCACUAACCACCACCUUACCCACCAUCAAUCACCUUUCAACUCUCUACAUCUCUCCAUCCAAUGGCUAAAUAACACACAAGAUAUUACCCCUGAUAGCUUUACAAGUAUUCUAGCUUCUCUUAUCACACAUAUAUAUAUAUUAUAUUAAUAUAUUAUAUUAUUAUAUAUUAUAUAUUAUAUAUAUAUAUAUAUAUAUAUAUUAUAUAUUAUGUUGACUUAAGAAUACAUUCAAAAUGCACUCAUAUGAGGUGGUGCUUUUGAGUUUUUAACUAUUGGAUGGAGGAAUGUAAGGUUGUGAUGAUGGUGGUAGGUGGAAUAGUGUUUGAUCCAAGGGCUAUUAGUAAUGAAGGAGUAGAUCCAAGGGCUAGAAACCUAAAAGCACCAAUGGGGUGAUACUUUUAAAAGUAUUCUAGCUCAAUUAUAUAUAUAUAUAUAUAUAUGGGCUUUUUUUGCAUUUGGCCCUCUCAAAAAAGUUUAUUUUAAGAAUAGCUCCACCAAAUUUAUAAUUAUAAUUUUGGCCUUAUCCCUGCGACGCAAGCGCCACAUAAGCGCCACACAAGCAGGCUAGGCUGUAGGGUAUUAAGUUGAAUACGGUGAAUCAUUCACCGUGUUUGGACAUGGUGAAUGGUUCACCAUGUGAUAUCGUAUAAUACACUAAACACGGUAAACCAUUCACCGUGUUUGGACACGGUGAAUGGUUCACCGUCUUUAGACAUGGUAAACCAUUCACCGUGUUUGGACACGGUGAAUGGUUCACCGUCUUUAGACAUGAUAAAUCAUUCACCGUGUUUAAACACGGUGAAUGGUUCACCGUGUUCAGUAGAACUUGAGCCCAAGCAUUGCAAAAUUCAACACAACAAAACAAUAAAUUCAACAUCAACAACAAACAACAAAUCUAACACAACAACACAACAAUAAAUCUAACGCAAUAUCAAUAGAGUAUCAAUAUCAUAUCAUCACAACAAAAUAUCAAAAAAUAGAGCAAGUUUUUUAAUAAUAUAGAAAGUUCUGUGCAAUUUAAAAUUUACAAAAAUAUAACAUCAUAUUCUCCUCAUAGUCUCUCAACCACGUCUACCUACAUGUCCCUACCACGGCCGUGACCACGAUCACGAUCAACACCAUGCUCAUCAAAGGGCUCUAUGACUUUCGACUAGUCAAGAUGUUCGAUAGCAGUACCCUCAACAACUGGCUGAGUGUCCUACGUUUUGAUCAUCCGUCUGAUCUCGUGCUCAACCAUAGCAGGUGUCGAUAGUAUGUCUAGCCGUGGAGAAGCUAAAGAUGAGGGCUGAUCUGCGUGGAGAGACUGCAACUGCCGUUGGCGCCUACGAUAAACAAUAUCAGCCGGUCGAGGUGAAUCCUCUAGUAUUGGUACUGUGUCUGGAUAAUAAUGUGACUCCUCUAUUGGUGAAAAUGGCAUCGGCGAACUAUACAAUGGUACAUGGCCCGACAUCAAUGGUACACCAUAUUCUGCUGGCUGUGGAGGUACAGUGUCUAGAAGCGUAGAUAGAGUCUCCAAAACUGCUUCCAUUUAAUUGGCAACUUGUGACACGGUUUCUAAUACUCCACCAUAUAGAAUAUCUGGCAGGACACGUCUAAUCGUAUAAUGCGAUUUCUGCACGACAUCGACCUGAAAUAAAAACACCAUCAUAAAAAUUACACUAAAAUUUUUUUAUAUAUAAAAAUAAAUAUAAAAAAUAUUAUAUAUUAAAAUCAUAUCAAUACUCUCUCGACAUGUUCACAUGGCUUAUACGCGAGGGGUAGGCGCUAUACUGGCCUAGAUAUCCAUCUUUUAGUGAUACUCCAAUAACACUGCAUGUAAAGAGUAGUAGCUCGUAUAGAAUUUAGAUCUACUAUGUCCAUCAAUCGAUCAUUCUAACGUUGAAUAUAUGAGUAUGAUACGCCGCCCAAUUCUCAUCUGCUCUAUCUCAUGAAGUGAUGCGAGAUAUGGCAACCACUGCUUCAGGUAUAUGCUGUAGAAAAUCAAAUUGUCGAAGCACAUGAUCUAGAAAAUGCAGCUUAAUAAUAUGGAAGCUGUCACGCCCCGGGACAGGCAGUGGCCCUCCCGGUAGCGUGCCCAAACCCGCCAUAUGUCAACACAUAUAAGGCGUCUAAAAACAACAGUGGAAAAUAAAGGCAAGAAAUAAUCUACAACUAGAGAUAUCAGAGCAAAUAAAGUUCUAUCAUCUAAACCAGAGUAAAAAGAUACAUAGCUAAACCAUAAAAGAAAAUAUAAGUAGUACAAUAUCAGUAUCUAGUACAAAAAUGGUGGUCUCUAGUACAUGGGUAAACUCUCAACCUCUCACAAAAUAAAACGUCGAGAGGUAGACCACCUAUCGAAUCGUCUUCGAAGGAAGCUAGCUCGAAGCAACUCCCUUCCCGCGGUCCCUAGCCUCUCCCGGCGUGGAAGGCUCUAAAAACAAACAUAAAACAGAGGGCGUGAGAACUAUAAUUUAUAGUUCCCAGUGGGCAAUUACUGACCUCAGCUCAAUGCACCACUAGACCCCAAAAGGAAAGGGUAAGUAACGACAAUAAUAAUAAGCAAUAGAAAUAACGAGUAAUUUGCAUUUAUGAAAGCAUAAUGAAAAUGCUAAUCUAUUACUUGCAAUUAAACAUGGCAUUUAUGUAAUGCACAAUUAUCUUGUCAUGAAGAAUAUGUCUCUACUUAGCCAUAAAUAAUGUCAUGGGUUGCUUAAUGAAAUUAUGAGGAUUAUCCUUUAUCAUAGUAACAUUGUUUAUAUGAAUGCAAGUAAGCAAUGUCUCCUAGCAUACUACAUGUAUGUAUGUAUACCCAAAGUCCAAAUCUAUACUAGAAGCAAGUCCGAGUAAUCCAACUACUACUCUCUAUUUAGUAGUGAUUAUAACAAACUCAUCCCGUGUCGAUUUCCAUUUCCAAUUAAGGACCUACCAAAGGUAGUCCAGCUUGUGCCGCCUAAGUGUCUGUGGUAGCCCAACAUCCCUACUCUUGGAAUGUGUCUGUCCCACUCGACCCCGUAGGCUUCUCAAUACCGCACGAGCGAACAUAAGUCGCGUAGGCUAACUCCGGAGUGCCGGCUUGUAGGGAGCGACCCUCACAAGCAUGUGCGAAUGAGCACAAAUGGCAAACAAGCAUAGUCCAAGUCUCAAGUAUCCAAUCCUCAUGUCUCUAACAAGGUAUCGUCACUAGCAUCCCGAAGAUCUAGUUUAAGUCACAAAGCGAAGUUCCAAACACUCACUACACCUAGUGCCUCUUGAUGACACUUAGGCAAUUUGAUGUUCAACAUAAGCCAAAUCCCGCAAUGGCUCUAACCACUAGGUUCACACAUGUCCCGAGCUCAAUGCCGCUUGAUGACAUUAGUUUUCUAAUUCGCAUACAUUCUAGUUCAAUACCUCUAUAUGGCAAUCUUGUCAUCUUUCAUAUCAUAAUUAAAUCUAAGUUUAAAUGCAUGAAUCAAGACUCAUUUACGCUAUAGAAGCAUGGAACCAAGUCUCGUGUAGAAUGCCAAAUGCAAACCAAAGCUCUCUCAAGCAACUCUCUACUACAUAGAGGUCCAAAAUUUUACUAUAUGCAAUAUAGGCAUUUUAAGCAUUCUAAAAUUCACAAUAAAUAUAUAUAACAAGAAUAUGCAUGCUUUUUCAACUAACGAUGCUUAAUUCAUCACAAAUGAGAAUUUCUCAUUGUGUGGCUAGGUCAAACCCACCGAAUCGUCACGUAGCGCCUCGUUUUGCCGAACGAAGUUGUCCACGAGUCCCAAAAUACCCUAAAAGUAUUGAGCGAAGAGAUACACGGGCAUUACGAUCAACUAUAAGAUCAAACAUUAACCUAGAAGCAAAAAAGGCCAAAACUCACCUCAAGAAAAGAAAUCUCUUCCAAAGCUCCAAAAGAGAGCUAGAACCCUUCCAAUCCAACCAAAUGGAAGGUUCUAAUCCAACUAAUUUAGCCCCAAAAGCCCUAGAUCAAAAAAGCCCAAAUCAAACCCUAAGUUUCCAUUCUAGGGUUCCAAAGGUAAAAUCUACUAAAACAAGGAUCAAAGGGUAGAAUCCAAGUACUAAACUCCCAAGAUGCCUCCAAACAAGCUCCAAAUCUUCUAGGGUUGAAGAUUGGUCCACCACCAAGCUCUACAAGCAAGCUCUAAGCCUUGCAAAGGUGGAAAGGGGAGGAAGGGGUUGAGCUCCAAGCUCCCUCAAACAAGUUCCUCUUCUUCUUCUCCUCCUUCUUCUUCUUCUUCUCUCUCUAGAAGGUGUAGGGAGAGGGUGAGAAUGAGAAAAUGAGAGAGGAAAGAGGGGGAAAUGGCUAAUAAGCCCAUCUAGUGUAACAAAAUCCAGUGAGGCCCCUCAAAAAAAUGAUAUUGCAUCAGCCCGGUCUGGGCAGUUUUCGCCCAAAGGGACCGGUCUCUCCCCAGUAGGGACCGGUCUUUCGCUGCGAACCCGAAAAACCAACGUUCGGGAACCGGUCUCUCCCCGCGCGGGACCGGUCUCCCACUGCGAAGACGCACUCGGGGACCGGUGUCGCCUGCCAGGGACCGGUUGCCUCAGGGCUGCCACAACACUGCUCACUGGGGGACCGGUCUCUCCUUCCAGGAACCGCUCCCCGAGAGUAAAAACUCUCAGGACUUGUCCAGAAUUUCAGUUUUUGAACUUUUUAGGUCGGAAAACAUUCUACAACUCUCCACCAAGUUUGGAAAAGCUCGAAACACAUCCAAUCACUCGAACCUCACAAUUUGGAAAAGUCCAGUGUGUCACAGAAGCAGACUAAGGUGGUCCUAGAUCGCCAAACCUGGGACCCCGCUACACAAAAAAGUAAGUGUCUCUAAUACUGCAUCUGUAUAAGGCUCCAUUUAAUCUAUUGUGAAAAAUACAUAUGGUUAUUUAUCUUCUCCUUUUUAAAUAAAAUUUUUAGUUAUAAUAAGAUUGAAUUACUUUCAUUUAUCUGAAAAUUUAGCUACUGAUCAAGCUGAUCACGAUAAAAUUCAAUGUAAGUAGUCCUAACAUUAUCCUAAAAAAUCAGCCUACUAUUCCACCUGAUUCAUUUAUAUCAUAUUAGGCAUGAUUAAAUAAUAUUUAGAAACUUAAAAUGAAAGAAAAAAUACUCACCUACAAUCUAAUGGCAUGUUGAGAAGUUCAGGCUGCAGUCCAAUUAUCUCAGGGCGACCAAUGUGCAGGUGGUCCCAUGCCCAUAUCUAUACAAAAAGAAAGUUCGAAAUUACAACAAAAGUCAUGACUUAUAAAAAGCUAGUAAAGCAAUGUAUCUGAAGUAAUGUCCCAAAACGACAACACUCCACCUUCCCCCUCAUGCAAGCAUUUUCUAAUGCCCGAUAGAGAUGAGCUAGCAUAGCUGCACCCCAUGCCAACUCACCGCAGACGUCAAAAUCCUCUAACAAUGGCAACUAUUUCAAAUGCACUCUAUUUCCGCUUGGAUUUAGCAACAAAUUACACAUCCUAUCUGAAAUAGUAUAUAUACUCUAGUUGUAGCUCGUACAAUAGCGGGAGUUGCAUCUAGGGCGAUAUCAUAAAAAUGGUGGUAUAAUCAGUCUAUCUUUAUCUCACCACCUCUAAUAUUCUCAGGAACUAGCCCGAGAAAUACCUCACAGAGCUGUGGCAACUGACUUGACGCCCCUCCGGUCAUAGCCCCACUAUGGACGCAGAGUCCUGUAAUAACAGUGACAUCCAUCAAAGUAAUAGUCAUCUCCCCGUGUCGCACAUGGAAAGUGUAAUGUACCGAACUCCUAAAGUUGUGAAGUUUCGAUGGGAACAAGCUUAAAAAGCUAGUAGAUAAGUUCCGGCAAAGUUUGGAGAGCAUUUGGGUAUUUUGGAAGCAAACUAGACUUGAAAAUGGGCUCCGAAAGCUGAAAUUUGCAUAAGUUGCAGAAUUUGUAUUGUGUACCGGUGAUGGAAAACUGGGUACCGGUACUGGACUGGCCUGGUACCGGUACGCGAGCCCGAGUAACGGUGCGCAACCUGCCAGAACGCUGUUUUGAGAGGUAAAAGUGUAAUUUCAGUUGGGGGCUUAUAUAAGGUGAACCGCACAAACACACACACAUACAGAGAGAGAGAGUGGAAGAGCUCAUCUCUCUUCCUCUCUUCUUCCUCCUCUUAAAAUUGGAGAUCUUGGUGGAGAUCGAGUUCGGAAACGCGUUGGAAGAGGUGGUUCGAGCUCUCGGCGCUUGGUGGCUCGGUGUGCUUUCGACUCGAGGUUCGCAAAUGGGUUGAAAGGUUAGGGUUCGGUUUAAAUCCCUAGAAAUGAGGUUCUAGUGAACCCUAGAUGAUUCUAAACUAGGUUAAUCAUGGUUUCUCCAUGUGUUUUGGGGGUUUUGGAGAAAUGGAAAACCUAGGGUUAGAAUUGGGGGUUUUAGGGUUUGAGCUAGGGUUUUGAAUUUAAACUUUCCAAAUGGAUUUCUAGCAAACCCUCGGCUAAUCUAAGCUACAAAUGGUAGAGAUUAGCAUGUAGAUUAUGGUUUUAUCAUAAGUUUGAAAAACCCUAGGUUAAAAAGAGAGGUUUCUUGGUGGAGGGUUCUAAAAAUAUUUUAACCCUUUGGAAACCUAAUUGGGGGUUAGGAAAUCUUAUGAGGCUAUUUGAUUUCAAGUAGAGAGAUCAUUUAGUGGUUCAAAAAUGGCAACGAAGGAUUUCUUGUAUAGGGCAAGGAAAGUUUGGAAGUCCAAGUAGUUGGCCUAAUUGCAAGUGACUACAGGCAAUUAGGAAGCUUAAAAGGUGGGUUGUGCUUCACCGAAGUGACUAAAUCGCUUCCAUGUCGAAGUGGAGUAUGAUUUCUCAUUGAUGCAUAUAAUGGUAGUUUAUAGCAAUUAUGAAUACAUGUGAUAGAUGCUAAAAUAUGUAUAAACUGCCAUUGGAUGAUGAUAUAGGCAUGAUCAUGAUAUGCUAGAGAACAUAUGCACGUAACGGUAGUUAAUUACAUAUAUGAAUGCGUGAGGUAGAUGCCAUGUAAAUGCGUGAGAUGAUAUGUAUUAACUACCCUUGGAUGUCAUGUAUAUGAAUGUUGACAUUAUGAGAACAUGCUAGAUGGUAUAACAAUGUUGACAUUGUGAGGAUAUGCUAGAUGAUGUAUGCAUGUUAACAUACUAUAGAAUAAAUGCUAGAUUAUUUGCAUAUGGACAUAUUGUGUAUAUAUGUUGGAUUCAAGUAAAUGUGAACUUGGGUCGGUACUCUAGGUUGAUAAGAGAACUCGACAUUGGGAAACAAGAAUAUGUAACUAUAGUACUCGAUGUGGACAAUUAGGAUGUCAAGUAGAUCGAGUGGCAUUGAACCUAGUGUUAUUAAACAUAGGUUGGCAUUGAACCUAGUGUUAUUAAACAUAGGUUGGAAUUAUCAUUAAACCUAGAGUCAAGAUCUAGGUAGAAGUGACGUAGAACCUAGCGUGACAUUGAACCUAGGUUAUGACAUGUAGUGACACCUAGUGUGGUUGAACCAGGUUGUGGAAAUAGUGGUAGAAUGACCACUAGGAUGUGCAUGGGUCGAACCUAGAUAGGUCGACAGUAUAGGGUGUGUAACUAUCCUUGAGACUUGGAAAGUGGAUUCCAGAAUUCCAGGACUUGUGAACUUGACAGUUCUUGGCCGCGGGUGCGUGUGGCAUAUUCCCCUCCCACCGGAAGAACUUUGAGGAUAGGAUUAUGGAAGAUUCUUGGCCGCGGGGGCUGUGUGGCAUAUUCUCCUCCCACCGGAAGAAUCUAGAAUCGCUAGGGUGUGUGUGGCAUAUUCCCCUCCCUAUCGGGGGUCUUGGGCCGCGGAUGUUAGUUGUAUGCACUAGAAACCUAUCAGGCUGACGCAUUUUAUUUUCUAUGGGACAUAUUUUUGUACUUAAUCUUUAUUAUUGGGCCUUUUAUUCCAUUCAUAUUAAAUGUGUCCAUGAAUUGUCCUUUGAAUUAAUAAGAUGAUAAUAUAUAUUCUCAAGAGUUGAGAAUUUGAGAUACAUAUUAUUGGUGAUUAAUUCAUAAAUGCUCUCAAUCGGAGAAUCAUCAUGGGGACGAUAAUUGAUCCGAUAAGAUUUAUAUGUGUGCCGCUUCCCUUUUGGGAUGACGAAUCUCGAGUCAUCAGUGUGGGGACACUGGAGCGAACAUGCAGGUGGUUGUUGGAGAACAACGGUACUGAGCGUGACCAACUACGAACAGUUACAUGGAUGUCUACUCAUUCGUCAGUAACUGGUUCGAUGUUGCAGUGGUACAACUGAUCCUUAGACCUGCGACACCACGGUCAUUCAAUAUGAGGCUACUGUAGUUUGACUAUGCAACAAACUCUGAUCCUAGCCAUGGGUCUUAGUAGUAUAUGUUGGCUGCAGUCGGUUCAUAUCAGGAAUGGGUGUGUGUUUAUAGGGGAUCUAUCGCUCUCGGUAGAGAGAUAAUUAGUUCUAUGCUAUUUGUAAGGCAAAGCUCAGAAAUCCUCGGCCGGGGUAAUAUGGUGUAUGGAAAGAUGUUUCCAAGAGUAACCAUAAGAGCUUCUGUCUGAUCAAAUUUGUCAUAUGACGGGUGAUGGGGUUUGACGAAUAUUCCAUGACCUCCACUCAGUUGGAACUAUGCGAUAGAAGGAUUGUAUUGUACGGUAACUGCACCUAGAGGUUCAGUCCGAUAUUCACUUCUGACUGGAUUGCCACUACAUGCUGCUAGGCGUCACUGGUGGAUUGUGGGAACCAAUAGAAAUAAUUAUUAACAAUUAAUUAUUCUAUUAGGGUAGAGUCAAAAGAGUUUGAGCCAUCGAAAGGAGUUUCGAUGAUGAUGUAGAUGGAGAUCGCAUCAUAUCUCACUACCAGACAGAAUUGAACCUAUUAGGUCACACACAUAAGAAAUCGCGCAUGAUCGAUAUUUAGGAAACGAUAAAAGAAGUUUAUCAGAUGGAUUAAUUACAAUUAUAAUAUAGUUAAAUACUAAAGUUUACUAAUUUAUUAGUAAAAGGACUAAUUUGUAAUUAUUGUAAAUUAGAGGUAUUUAGGUGUAAAAGUUGUAUGGUGUAUUUACUAAUCGUUAGUAAAUAAUAUGAGGACUUAUGUGUAAAUGUUACACACGAAUCGAAUUAGAAUUAGGAUUCGGAAUUCGGUUAAUAUCAUAACCAACUUGUGGGUUAAUGGAUAAUCCAAUCGGAAUAGGAUUUCGAUUAGGAUUAGGAUUAGGAUUACGUUAGGGUUUUCUCAUUAUAAAUAUAUGUCAUAUGACAUAUUAAAAAUUAACGAAAAAAUUAAUGCAAAGAGAAAAAUAAAACCCCAGCCGUCAAUCCUUUUUCUUCCUUAAGUUCUCCAUAAUUAAUCCAUCGGUUUUGAUCUUCAAAAGUUGCUAGCACGUCUAGAAGAUUGAUUCAUCUUCCUCAAGUCGACGCAAGGGUUAAUUCGUGAUCGGAUCAUGGAUUGAAGCGGUGGUCUAAUUCAAUCGAGGGCGUGAUUUCGUGUGGACGCGAGUAGAGGCCGGGCACGUGCCCGGCUAACUGAGGACGAACAAAUUUUAACAACGAUUGUCAACUUCGCGGUGAUCUCGACCCGCGCGAGGUAAAAUAAAAUAAAAUAGAUCCUAUUUGAUUAGAUCAAUUAGAUCUAUUAUUAAUGAUCUAAAACGAAACACGAAUGUACACAUGUUGCGUACAUAUGUUUUUCUAUUUGGUUUUUUCAAGAAAAUUUUAAUUGUGUUAUUUUCUUCCGUUGCGUACACAUGUUUUUCUUACAGCGGGUGCAUGUGGCAUAUUCCCCUCCCACCGGAAAGAUCCCUGACCACGGGUGUACGCGGUUCUUCGCGACCCGUUGGGCGAUGUGGCUUGUGGAUUUAGGGCUGAGGUGCAUGUGAGACGUCCUUCGCCUCGAGCCCGACAGAGCGCGGUAUUCCGCAAUUGAUUGACACGAGGCCGAGUCGGGUAGCUUGUUAAGGUAGAUGAAACCUUAAGGGUUAAUGGUAAAUAACAUGGAUCUAAGGUAGUAGAACCUUAGAAGCUAGUUGGAUAUGAGCUAGAUAGCGAGAUAGAAAGUAGUAUCGGAUAAUCUACUAGUUUGUGCAUUAGUUGCAUGGUUGCAUAAAUUACAUUAUUGCAUUUGUGAGGCAAAAGCAUGAUAAAUGUUAGUUGCAUAAAUUAUAUGAGGUUAUAUCUAUCUGUUGGACUAAUAUGUUGGGGAGUGACAGAAAGUCUGCGUCUCCCUCCACCACCUCUCGACUAAUGAUUCCAAUAAGGACUUAUCUAGUUGUAGGCACCGCAAUCAUAAUACAAAGUAAAAUCCUACUCGUCGCAAUAGGAUCCAAAACUACAUGAUGCUCAAUUUGUCAUCUGUUCAAUUUGCUGUCAUGCUCCGUAAAUUGAACAGGAGAAUAACUCUGCAUGAUAAUGAAUGUCAGUUCAAUAUUAGUACAUAGUUUACUAGUAAACUUGAAAUGUUUUAAAAAAACAUCACCUCCUGUCUAAUCAAAAUGGAUUUAUGGUGUGGCUGUGUCACGCCGUAGGACCGAUCCAUUUGGCCGGUUCGGGCGCGUCGAACAGACGCCGAACGGACAGCACCCCCCCUGUCCGCCCAAGGCUCAACAAGUACAGAUCAUGUAAUACCCGUAUCUAAUUAAUUUAAAUUAGAAUUUAAAUAUGUGGUCAUGAUUGUAGUUUUGUGAUAAACCCGUUAUUAAAUAUUUUUUAUUUAUUUGUACUGUCGGAUUAAGCGGAUUCGGUUGGAUUUGAUUUUCGGAUUAGUUAUACUCUAAUACUAGUUAGAGUAGGAUUGAGAUUUAGCCCUAAUUAAUCACCUAUAAAUAGGUAAUUUAGGGAGGGCGUACGGCCAAAAAUAUUAUAAUAAUAAAUAUUGUUGCCGGAUUCUUUGUGCAAGCGUGGCCGACGGCGAGAGCAAGAUCCGACAAUCGUGGGGGAGAGGAAAAAGAACGAGAGUGAGGUGAGUCUCCAAUAAUUAGUUUUCUCGUUUUUUUCUCUCUUUUCUUUCUUCUUCUAUCUCCCAAUCUUAUCCUCUCUCCUCGUUGUACCGCCGCCGCCAUCGCCGGAGUGGUCGCCGGCCACCUACGGACGGGUUAGGGUGAACCCCCUAUGGGGUAACCAUGGUUGGCCAUGAGAGGGGUAUGAGAGGCUUCUUUCUUUGAGUUGGGAAGAAGAAAAGAGGAGAUGGGAUUAUUUUGGAUCUGGCUAGACCCGGUUCACGGUGGACCACCUUAAUUUUUGCAUGGUUUAUUUUUAUAUUUAGUUUCAAUUUAUCGUAAUGAUAUUAGACGUAAUUAAGUUGUUAAUUAGAGUGUUUUGCCUCUAUCGGUUGAAUUAUAUUUAAUUGGAAAAGCUUCUGGUGCACGUUGCUGAUGCUGGAUCUGAGAUCCCUGGUGUUUGACUGUGGAGGCUUGUCGACAGCUCUGGAGAGUGUCGGGACAAGCCCGAGUCGCGUUGGCGUCAAAUAGACGUAAAACGGACUCCGUGCGACGCGAUGGCAGCUUAUCGCGAAGAAUUCUGCAAAACAGCAGCAUUCUCUGCUUGCUGUACCGGUACAAGCUUAGUGGCUGUACCGGUACAACCAGCGCGAAAUAGCUCAACUGCUCUCGGGUUGGCUCUUGUACCGGUACAGGAGCCCGUGUACCGGUACAAGGGGGUAGGUAGAGGGCUAAAUGGGUAAUUUUAUCCCUCGUUUGUAUCACCCCUUUUUCUCCUUCUUUAUAGUGUGGUGUAGAGCAGAGAGAGGAAGCUUUUCUUAUUCUCCUCUCUCUCUCUAGCUGGGUUCUUGCGCACGGUGGAGCUCGAGUGGAGUUCGGAUUUCAUCGUCGACGUCGCGCCGCGGAGUCGUUCGAGCUCGUGUUUGACGCCGGGGUAGCGCGAGAAGGCCGGGCGAGCGGAGGUUUUCGCCGUUUUUCUGUCGCAGCGGUGCCCGGUGUUGUCGAGGUGAGUAAUUCAGCAUUUCCCUGGAUUUUGGGCAAGUUUUUACUACUUCAACUCGGUAAAUUGUUGUUUGCUGAAAUCCACCGUGGACUGUUAGUAUUUCAGCUCGUUCUCGACGUAGGAGCAUCGGAUUGCGACGAGACUUGGUUCGUUGGAUUCGGGACUUCGAGAGGAAUCCACGAAGCCCUUACUUGCAAAUUUUGGUGAAGGUUAGCUUGGUCGAAUCCUUGUUGUACUCCACUGCUGCGAAAACUAGACUGAAACGGUGAAUUGUUUGGUGUAAAGCUUGGAGUUAGCGCGAUCCUUGGGUUCGAAAGGCUACGAUCGACCCAGCAGGUGGCGCCACAGCUGUGAGAGUGUACCGCUGCCAGGGGAUAGCUUUCGAGGUGGGUUACAUCGGUUUUUACUCCUAAGUGUUAUUAGUCGACAUGUAUAAAUCGUGUUUUCUACAAUAGUUGUUAGCUCAAAUUCAUGGAUUAUCUUUAGAAUAUAAAAUCUGAAUUUUCGAGCAUAUUUUAUCAAGUAAAUAGAUUAUACAUGUUGGACUUAAAACUUGAAUUAGGAGAAAACCUGCAAUUUGGACCUGUCACCAGUUUUAACUACCUGAUUUAGCUCUAGGAGCCGUUAGAAAAUUGUACUUUCGCAGUUUCUUCGAGACGAGUACUCCAGGUAGUUUAGAAUGUAUUUACACUCGUGCUGGUUCGCCGAGUGGAUUUUUACAGGGUCGUUCAGGUCGUUUCGGACUGUUGGGUGCCGUCAGAGUUGACGGUGGACCCGUAUCGCCUUUUUGGCGUCAGAUUGUGCCGAGGGCACGUUACCUGUUGGUUGUUAGACCAGUUUGAGUCGAUUACUUGACUUUGGCUAGUUGGAGCCUGAUUGAGCUCGACAGAGAUACGCUGCAUACUCGGUUGGGUAGCGCCCACGAGUGCCACUCCGGAGUCAGGCUUUGUGCUUUCACGUUGGUGUCGCUCAUGCCAGUUGGACUUGCUCUCCACAGACCAGUUAGUGUGGGGUUAGCUGGAUAGUCGCAACGGGGCAGGGACGGGUGUAUUCAUAGUCCCAGGGACGGGUAUGUUUACAGUCCCGAUUGGAUUGGGUCAGAUUUGACAUUUCCUACAGUUGGUUAGUGUAGAGCAUGAUAGUGUAGUGAUUGAUAGCGGUAGAGUGUACUUCCUGCUUUUCCUACUAUUUUUGCUCCCUUCUGUAGACUUAGUGGGAAGACCGAUGUUGUUUUGGGCGGCACCCACCGAGGACUAUCUGUUUUUACAGUAGUUCUCACGCCCAGUUGUUACUCCUGUUUUGCAGAGCCACAGGUCCCGGCUGCUGCAUCUUCCGCCGACCAGGAUCGAGGCAAGGGCGUUGCGAGUUAGAGCCCUACCCGACAGUCAGAGCUAGAGGCUUUCCACUACUGCAGGUAGUUGUUGUUUUGGAAUUUAUGUACAUAGUUGUUUAACUCGCCAGUGCGAGUA
rnacentral:lncRNA from 1 species